UAUUAUCUUCUAGACAGUAUUCAAACUCAAAUAAGUCCUUAUUAUAAUUAUUGAUACAUUAUUUUACAAAAAUAGUGAGGACUACUAAAAUAACUUUUUAGAACCAUCAUUUCAUACCCUAACUAGUACUCGCUACAUUCUCGCCUCCUGAGAAAAAAAAUGGAACAAAAAGGAAAACGGUUAGCUCAACUAGCCCAGUAAAGAACAUUAUGACUAAGAUAAUAUAGAACAAAUUAUCGUUAGUCCUCAAUAGGGAAAAAUCUGAUAGAAUAUAAUAGACAACAAAUUUUAGAUCAAUAUUUGCAACGGAAAUAACAAAUCAUUAAAAGAGUUAAGUAGAGAAUGAAAUCUACUAUCUUCUAUGAUUUUAAAGUUCAUCAUCAAUAUUUUAUCCCUGUGAAAUCAAUCAAUAUAUAUCUUGAAUCAAAUAAUCAUAUUUGCAAUACGACCAAAAUAUUCAAUCGUAUUCCCAGUUGGUCAUGUUCAUCUCAACACCUGUUCAUCUUUGCAUUACAGGCCAAAGAUAUUCAUCAUGUAAUCGUUCAUCUUUGCACUACAGGCCAACGAUAUUUAGUUAUAUCACCAUUUAGGACUGAGAAUGAUGAAAAUAUUUUAAAAAAAACGAAUCCAGUGAGAUAAAAGGACAAAGAUUAAGGAUUCGUACUUUAGUUUAUCCAAAUUCAAAAAUACUCCAUAAUAAACCAUUGUGGAGUAAAAUUCAAGAAUGAAGAUGAAAACAUGGAUACAAUCAAAGUUAGUAACCAUAAUAAACAAUUUGGACAAAGAAAGGAAAAUUUUAAUUUUUCUAUGAAUAGUGUCGUAUACGUGAAUAGUGCCGUAUACGUGAAUAGUAACUCCGACACAAAAAAACAAGAAUUUCACAAGAAAAAUCUUACCAAUAUUCCGGAAUAAUGAUAUUGAAAGAAAUAAUAUCAUUUAUAAAAAAAAUAACAUCUCUUACCUCAUAAGAAUAGUAAUUCUGGCUGGAAUAUCAGAUAUAACGCUUAAAGGAACUUACACUGUAUAGCAACACUCAAAGUAUCAAAAUAUUAACAAAAAUACGCUCGAUAAAAUAGAGAGAGAAAACUUCAGUUUCUAGUGUGAUUUUCAAUUCUAACCUAAGCACCCUAUUUAUAGGAAAAUGCUUACAAUACCAAAGCAGAAAAUUUAAUAAAAUAUUAAUAUAUUAAAACAAAAUUCACGCCCACCUUAGAAAAUCUGAAUUCAGCAUUUUUACCACUCAUGUGGGGCCCACCCAAUUGCAAAAAAUAUUUUUCUUAAAAUAAAUAUUUUAAACUCUAAAAAUCAAUUAUUUCGGAACUUUAAUAAUUCAUAACAAAUAUCCCUUUUAUAAGAAAAAUUCAAAUCUUAUGUCCAUUCUAUAGAAAAUUCAAUUCUCUACAACUUUGUAAGUUUAAGUUUUUCCAAAUUCCAAGUAGAAAUUGACCGAAAUCCACAUACGGAUGAUUUUGCAGGCUAUAAUCAAAUUUCAGUCAAGAUGGGGUCCACCAACAUGUUUAACAUGUUUUUAGCAUUUAUUGUAACAAAAAUACUCUUCCUCCUCAUUAUUCAUAUAUCACACAUUCAUUAUAAAAAUAUCAUCAUUAUUAUAUUAUUAUAAUAUAAUAAUAUAUUUAAAUAAAUUAUUUUAUCAGAAAAGAUAAAAUAUCAAUUUUCAACAAUUGUCACUUUUAAAAAAAUUCCUCCAUUUAUAUCCACAUAAAACAAAUAUUUUUCUUAUCAUAUAAAUCAAUAAUUAAUUAUUCACAAAUAAUAUUACAUAAUCACAAUACUGACAACCAGGCUGUUCCUAGGAAAGAGGGGGCUUCUGAUAAGGAUUUUUCCUUAUUGACACGCAAUUAAAUAACCUCUCCUAGACAGAACUUUCUAGACAUUGUCAAUAAUGUUAUCUAGUAAUAUUAUUAAAAUAAUAUAAAUUAUUGAUCUGAUAAUGAAAAAUACUGUGUAGUGACAAUUAUUGAAACAACAAUAAUAUAAAAUAUCAACGUAGCAAUUAUUGAAUCAAUAAAAUAAAAUAUUGAACAGUAAUUACUGUAAUAAUUAUUGAGUACUGACUUCUUACGUAAGAAUCAAUAAUUGGAGAAAUACUGUGUAAUACUGUGCAACACCGCAUAUUACUGUGUUUUAACCAUCGGGUACUCCAACAGUGUUAACGGUAACAACUACGUCGUUAUUUAUAAAAACUCAUACUUGUCAUUUUUUUAUCCAAUCGCUUUCCGUUAUAGGGCCCACAAAAGGCUGCGCCGUCGUACGAAUAUUCCCCGACAGCAAGAAUAUUCCACGACCAAACGAAUAUUCCCCGACAGCAAGAAUAUUCCACGACCAAACGAAUAUUCCCCGACAACAAUGAAUAUUUUAUAACCACUUGCUUAUUUAAAAAAUUUGCGCAUUCUACCCAUAACUAACCACAUUAAUCAAAUCAACCCUUACUAUUUCAAAAUAAUAAAUAGAGGAAAUUCUAUUUUAUUCAUAAAAAUUGGGGUCUUACAACCUCCCCUCCUUAUGAAAUUUCGUCCUCGAAAUUGGCGUACGUACCUGGUGUUUCAAAAAGGUGAGGAUCCCUCGCUUUCAUUUUCGUUUCCAACUCCCAGAUCAUUUCCUCAAUAGCAUGGUUCCUCCACAAAACUUUGACUUGUGGUAUAACCUUUGUGCGUAGGACAUACUCCUUCCUAUCCAAGAUCUUGACAGGUACCUCCUCGUACGUUAAAUCUUUGGCUAUCUCGUCAGGUUCUAACUCAAUAAUGUGGUUUGGGUCUUUCAUAUAUUUAUGAAGAAUAGAUAUGUUAAAAACAUUAUGAACACGAGACAUGCUUAGAGGUAAUGCGAGUUUAUAGGCCACAUUUCCUAUUCGGUCAAGAAUUAAAAAUGGACCAAUAAAUAGUGGAUUGCGCUUUCCUCUCUUCCCAAAUCUUGUAACUCCCUUCCAUGGAGCAACACGUAACAAUACAUGAUCCUCAAUAUUAAAUUUCACGUCCUUUCGAUGAAGAUCCGCAUAACUCUUUUGUCGAUCCUGUGCCGUUUGUAUACAUUGUCAGAUUAUUUGGAUCUUUCCUAUAGUUAUAUGUACCAACUCUGGUCCCAAUAAUGUUGCUUCACCCACCUCAUCCCAACAUACUGGAGAGCGACACUUUCGUCCAUACAAUGCUUCAAAUGGAGCCACACCUAUACUUGCCUGAUAACUGUUAUUGUAGAAGAAUUCUACCAAUGGCAGGUGCUUAUCCCAACUCCCUUUGAAGUUUAGGACACAGAGUCUUAAUAGAUCCUCAAGAGUUUGAAUAGUCCUCUCUGAUUGUCCGUCCGUUUGAGGAUGGUAUGCCGAACUGAAUCAUAAAUCCGUGCCCGUAGCUUUCUGCAAGCUAACCCAAAAUCGUGAAGUGAAUCUUGGGUCACGAUCUGAAACUAUGGAUACUGGCAUGCUAUGCAACCUCACAAUCUCAUUCACGUACAUACGAGCAAGACAUUUAAGGGAGUAAGUUUUUUGUAUAGGAAAGAAAUGAGCAGACUUGGUUAAUCUAUCAAUAAGAACCCAAAUCGCAUCUAUGCCUUGAAAAACCUUAGGAAGACCCGAAAUGAAAUCCAUGGUAAAGUGUUCCCACUUCCAUUUUGGAAUCUCAAGUGAUUGCAAUGGACCCUUUGGCACUUGAUGCUCCGCCUUUACACGUUGAUAAGUUAAACACCUCGAGAUAAACUUCGCGAUCUCUCUCUUCAUAUUGUUCCACCAAAAUGUAUGUCGAAGAUCAUGAUACAUUUUGGUACUUCCAGGAUGGAUUGCAAACGGUGUAUUGUAUGCCUCCAUCAUGAUCUUGUACUUCAAAUUAGAGUCGUUAGGAACAUAAAGUCUGGAGUUAACUCGAAGUAUUUCUUCUUCAUCGAUUCUUGCUUCUGGGAUAACACCUUCUUAUACUCUCUUCUUCAUACGCAUCAGCUCCGGGUCUGUGGCUUGAUUAACUUUAACUUUAUCGAUUAAAGUUGGUUCUAUGCGUAUACUUGACAUUAUCAUAUGGGUCCCCGGAGUCUUUAACUCUAUCUUCAUCUUUUGUAAAUCAUAUAAAAUGGGCCUUUAUGUUGACAACAUCGCACUCGUUCCUGCAUAUGAUCUUCUACUUAAUGCGUCAGCUACCACGUUCACUUUUCCAGGAUGGUAUUGAAUGGUAUAGUCGUAAUCUUUCAACAGUUCAAGCCAACAUCGUUGUCGCAUGUUAAGUUCCUUUUGGAUGAAGAAAUAUUUGAGGCUUCUAUGAUCUGAAUUGAUCUCCACUUUCUCCCCAUAUAGAUAGUGCCUCCAGAUCUUUAGCGCGAAAAUGACUGCUGCCAAUUCUAGAUCAUGAGUAGCAUAAUUCCUCUCAUAUUCUUUAAGUUGUCGCGAGGCAUAGGCUAUGACUUUCCCAUAUUGUAUGAGAACACAUCGUAACCCUUUGCCUGAAGCAUCGCUGUAGAUGACAAAUCCCUUCGAACCAGAUGGUAUUGUCAGAAAAGGUGCCGAAAUGAGUCUCCUCUUGAGCUCUUGGAAACUCUUCUCGCAUUCCUUGCUCCAUACGAAUUUUGUAUCUUUCCGAGUCAGCUGAGUUAACGGAGUAGCGAUUCGAGAAAAUCCUUCCAUGAAUCUCCAAUAAUAACCAGCUAAGCCCAGAAAGCUACGUACUUCAGUCACCGACUUCGGUUGCCCCCAACUUUGUAUUGCUUUAAUCUUCGUCGGGUCAACAGAUACUCCAUGUUUCGACACCACGUGCCUAAGGAAUGCUACUUCCUCAAGCCAAAACUCGCAUUUCUUCAGCUUAGUAUAUAGCUUGUUUUCACGAAGCCUUUGAAGUACCAGCUUCAAAUGGUGCUCAUGAUCUUCACGGCUUUUGGAAUAGAUGAGGAUGUCAUCAAUAAAUACAACAACGAACUGAUCCAAAUAUUCCUUGAACACACGGUUCAUCAUAUCCAUAAAAGCCGCAGGAGCAUUAGUCAAUCCAAAAGACAUGACUAAGAAUUUAUAAUGCCCGUAUCGAGUGCUGAAGGCAGUCUUCGAAAUAUCCUUAGUUUUAAUCUUCAGCUGAUGAUAUCCAGAACGAAGAUCAAUCUUUGAAAAGAAUUGUGCUCCUUGCAACUGGUCAAACAGGUCAUCAAUGUGAUGUAGCGGAUACCUAUUCUUGAUGGUGACAUGGUUCAAUUCCCGGUAGUCAAUACAAAGUCGCAUACUCCCGUCUUUUUUCUUUAUAAAUAAAAUAAGAGCACCCCAAGGAGAUGUACUAGGACGAAUGAAACUGAUGUCCAACAACUCCUGUAGUUGGACCUUUAACUCCUGAAGUUCAAUAGAAGCCAUUCGAUAUGGAGUUUUAGAAAAGGGUUUUGUACCAGGUUCAAGGUCAAUAAAGAAUUUAACUUCACGUUCUGGGUGUAGACCGGGAAGUUCUUCAGCAAAUACAUCAGGAAAUUCAUUAACAACAUAAAUAUUAUUCAAAUCUGAUGUGUCUUUAUUCAAAUACAUAACAUGGGCUAAGAAAGCUUGACAUUCAUUUUUCAAUAAAUGAAUGGCUUUAUAACUUGAUAUGACAAUGAUUGAUUUUAGUGGUUUAGUUGCUUGAAUUCGCAUAACAGGUUAGUUAGGAAUAUGAAAAUUAAAAACUUUAGGAAAACAAUCAAUUUUGGUAUGAUGAGUAGUUAACCAAUCAAUCCCUAAAAUCACAUCAAAUGCAAGUAUCUUUAAAGAGAUAAGAUCAACAGGUAAUGUGAUGGUGACAACUUGGAUCAAGCAAGAUUUAUAAAUAGUGGAUACAAUAAAAGUUUCUCCUAAUAGAGUCUCAACAUAUAAGUCAAAGUCCAAUUUCUCCAGAGUCAAGUUCAAAUGUUGAGCACAAGCAGGAGAGAUAAAAGAAUGGGUUGAACUGGUAUCUAGUAAGGUAUAAACUUCGUAAGAGUUUAUGAUUAGCUUACCUAUGAUUACCUUGUUAGGGUUCCUCGCAUUUUGGCCAGUCACGACAAACGCACUUCCAGGAACCGCUGAGUUUGACUUUUCUGGGAUAGCUUUUGAAGUUACCAUUCCCGCUGGACUUGAUUUCGCUACAGAACAAUCUCGAGCUAUAUGACCUUCCUUUCCACAGUUAUAACAUACCUUGGAUUGUUGUGAGCAGUUUGGGCUGAUGUGUCCCUCUUUUUUGCAUUUAUAACAUACGACCGGUGGUCGUUCUCCUCCCCUAGAAACAGUUGAUACUGGUGCUGACGUCUUCACAUUGUCAUUGUUGUACCUUCUCUUUUUGAAAUCUCCCCCUAACUUGUUUCUUCUACUAUCAUGGCCACGAUUACAACCAGAGUGGUUACCGCUUUUGUCUUUAUUCUUUCCUCCCCGCUGGUUAUCAUUGUUCCGAUUACUGCUGCCACUGGUCUGACCCUGGUUGUGGUCCCUCGGUUGAACAUACUCAUUAUCUCGCUCUAAUAAUUGAGCCCUGUUGACAACAUCUGAAUAUAGAGAAAAUUUGUGAGAAAUGAGGUAUUGACGAAUGUCAGGUUUCAAACCUCUCAGAAAUAUCCGCGUCAUAUGUUCCUCAUUCUCUACCAAAUGAGGUGCAAACCUGGAUAACUCUGCGAACUUUACCUCAUACUGGGACACAGUCAUGUUGUUCUGUUCCAGUCUGAUAAACUCUACCUCUUUCAUAUGACGGAUACUUUCAGGAAAGUAUUUGUCAUUGAAUAAUUUCUAAAACGCUUCCCAAGACAUAUUGAGUGCGGCAGGCUGGAUACGCUUCACAGAUUCUCACCAGUAAUUUGCCUCACCACGGAACGUAAAAGUGGCGAAUGGAACCUUCUGUUCCUCCGUGCAUCCCAAGACAUCAAAUAUCUUGGUAAUUUGCUUGACCCACAUUUUUGCCUUAAUCGAAUCCGACUUUCCCCAGAAUUCUGGUGGUCCCAACUCUUUGAACUGCUUGGCUGUGACAAACUGCAUGUUGUUAUCAUUUUCACCUGUAUUUUGUUCACAAGUCUCCCUCGUCUGAUUUUGCAUGAACUGCAAAUAGCUUCUAAACAUCCCAUCAUUCAUCGUCUGAUCAGUGGUGUAGUUUACAGGAGGAACAUUGAUGUCAUGUUGCACGUUCUCCUAGUUGGUGAUUAAAGGUGUUUCCACAAUCUCAUUCACUCCAUCGUUAAUAUUUUCAGCUGCCAUUUUUAAAUACUGCCAGAAAACAAGGGUUAAUUAAAGAAAUUGACAUGCAACAUAAUAACCCUAUACUCUGACCAACCAACAAAUAAGCUUAGGUAGGACAUACUAGCGAAGGACUUACUUAUCUCUCCCCUCCUAGUUCUAUUCCCCGAUCUCCGCCAGAGACCAUAUCCCUAAGCUCUGAUACCAACUGUGACGCCCCCAAAAUAGGUAUACAUCACCCAUUCUGAGUCACCAAAUAUAUGGUACAGAAAUAACUAUAACUUUAUUAAUACAAUUGUCGUGCAAAAUACGACAACACAUAAACUGUGAGUUUAAAUACAAAUAUUAUCUUCUAGACAGUAUUCAAACUCAAAUAAGUCCUUAUUACAAUUAUUGAUACAUUAUUUUAUAAAAAUAGUGAGGACUACUAAAACAGCUUUCUAGAACCAUCAUUCCAUACCCCGACUAAUACUCGCUACAUUCUCGCCUCCAGAGAAGAAAAAUGAAACAAAAAGAAAAAGGGCGAGCUCAACUAGCCCAGUAAAAAACAUUAUGACUAAGAUAAUAUAGAACAAAUUAUCGUUAGUCCUCAACAAGGAAAAAUCUGAUAGAAUAUAAUAGACAACAAGUUUUAGAUCAAUAUUCGCAGCGAAAAUAACAAAUUAUUAAAAGAGUUAAGUAGAGAAUGAAAUCUACUAUCUUCUAUGAUUUUAAAGUUCAUCAUCAAUAUUUUAUCCCUGUGACAUCAAUCAAUAUAUAUCUUAAAUCAAAUACGCAUAUUUUCAAUACGACCAAAAUAUUCAAUCGUAUUCCCAGUUGGUCAUUGUAAGACCCCAACUAUUAUGAAUAAAGAUGAAUUUUUCUAAAUAUCAUUUUUGAAUAUUAAGGUGUGAGUUUGUUAUAAUGUUAUAGUUGUGAGUAAUAUUUAUAAAUUUUUCAAAGUAAGCAAGUUGUUAUAUAAUAUUCAAUUAGUCGGGGAAUAUUCGUUUUAACAGGGAAUAUUCGUACGACGGCACAAUCAUUGGUGGACCCCACAACAGAAGUAUUGUCGUAGUUAGAAAACGAUAGAAUUAUCUUUUGAUAAAAAUAACGGCGAAAGUGUUACCGUUAAAACUGUUGAACUACCCGGUAGUAAAAGUACAGUAAUACACGUGGUGGCAUAGUAGCACACGGUAUUGAUUAUUGAUGCUUACGUGAGACUUCACUCAGUUAUACUCAAUUAUUGCUACAGUAAUUGUUGUAUCAUAUCUCUCAUAUUAUUGAUUCAAUUAUUGUCACAGUAUCAUCUGUAUAAUAUGUUAUAUUAUUAAAUUAAUAUUUGAGACGGCAAAGUUAUUCAUAUUAUUAUUUACAAUAUUGACAAUAUCUAAAAGUUUUGUCAAUGAGAGGUUAGAUAAUCUAAUUGCGCACCAAUAGGGAGAAAUCCUUAUCGGAAAGCCCCCUCUUUCCUAGGAACGACCUGGUUAUUAAAUAUUGUGAGUUAUAAUAUUAAUGAUGAAUAAGUUCGUGUUGAUUAAAGAUGAAAUUGAUAUUUUCAUUAUGUGAGAAUUAUUAGUGUUAGUGGAAAUAUAUAUUUAUUUUGAUAAUAAUUGAUGUCUGGAGAUUAUAUUGACCAAUCGGGUAAUAACCGGAUAAAUGAGCAAUUAAUUGCUAUUAAUUCACAUGCUUAUAACUAUUUAUUCAUAUGUGUUUACUAUUGAUUCACAUGCAUGUACUAUUAGGGGAGUUGGUGCAAGAUUGAUAAUACUUGCAUGACUAAAUUAAAAAUAGAGGUAUAGAUAAAAGUAUUAUACUGUAAUUAUUUUUUUCACAUGUAUAGAACUAUUGAUCAAUCACAUGAUUUACUAUUAAUUCACAAGAUUUACUAUUAGGGGAGGUGGUGCAAGUUUGAUAAUACUUGCAGGACUAAAUUAAAAAUGAAGAAAAAGAGGAAGGUAUUAUACUGUAAUAUUUUGAGCCCCAAAAUGUGCAAUUAUCGAAACUAUAUUUUCCUAUAAAUAAAAGCUCAUUCUUCCUUCAUUCUCACAAAUUCACUAAGUCUCACAAGAGCAAUUAUAGAGAGAUAAGUUAUAGAGAGGAAGAAGAAGAGAAGUCUGCUACCUUACUAUUCCAAUAUCCAGUCUUUUUCUGAGGUAAGGGAUAUUAUUUUGUUCAGUAUUCCUUGGAAUAAUAUUUUCUUCCAUACUCUGUAGUAUGUGAGUAAUAUUAUUUCAUCUCGUAUUCUUGAUUAUACUCUCAUUCUGUUAAAGUAAUGCUUCUAUACUCCGUGAAAUUAGUAGAAUAUCUUUGAUAUUUGUGCUUCAUCUAGUAUCUUUUCAUGAAAAUAUUAAUUUGAGCUUUCUUGAUAAUUAUUGAUCUUUUUAUACCGAAAUACUAUUCAUGAGUUACUAUUUAUGGGUACUAUUCACCCCGUUACUAUUCACUCAAAUAUUAUUCACUCGGGUAUUUGGGGCACUUUUCAUGCCGAAGUAUUAUUCACGAGUUAUUAUUCAUUAGUUACUAUUCACCCAGUUACUAUUCAUACAAAUAUUAUUCACUCGGGUAUUUGGGGCACUUUUCAUGCCGGGGUACUAUUCACGAGGUACUAUCCACAGGGUACUAUUCACCUGAAAAAUAUAUUUCUUUUAUGUCCAAAUUAUUUUUGAUACAUGAAUAUUAUUCUUGAAUUUUACUCCACAAAGCAGUAUCAUGUUGACAAUUUGGAUAUUUUUAAACUCUGGAUAAAUUUAAAGUCUUUAAUAUUUAUCCUUGAUUUCGUUUGAUUAAUGCUUAUAUCAUUGUCAUCAUCCUCAUGCUUAUAUUGUGAUGAAAGCCAUCUUUGGCUUGCGUGCAUAGAUGGACUGUUGAUUGGUAUGAUUAUGUUCAGGGAUCAUUCGGUAUAAUCAUGAUAUGUAAUAUAACAAAUAAUGUGGUAAAAGUCCUCAUUAUCCUGUAGUUCAUUGAUGGAUAGUUGUUGGUAUAAUUAUGACCAGGGAUUAUUCGGUAUAAUCAUAACCAUUGAUGAUUACAUGAAUAUCCUUGGUCGUGGUGCAGGGAUGAUUCGAUGAUGUGGUUUAUUUAUUAAGCCGAGUCUCAGCGAUAAAGUUGAUGAAAAACUUUUUUUAAAUCAUAGAAGAUAGUAGAUAUCAUGCUCUACUUGACUCUUCUAAUGGAUUAUUUGUUCCACUGCAGUUAAACUUGUUGUCUAUUAUAUUCUAUCAGUUUAACAUUGUUGAAGGCUAACGAUAAUUUAUUCUGCAUUAUCUUAGUCAUAAUAUUUCUUACUGGGCUAGUUGAGCUCACCCUUUUGCUUUCAUUGUUCACUUCAGGAAAUGAGAACGUAGCUGGGACUUGUCGGGGAAUGGAGUAAUGAUCCGAGAUGGUGUCAUAGUAGUCCUCAUUAUUCUAUAAAAUAGUGUAACAAUAAAUAUAAUGAGGACUCCAUUGAGUGUGGAUAUUAUCUAUAUGACAAUAUCUGUAUUAAAACUCUCAGAGUAUAUUUUUUCGUAUUUUACACGACAGUUGUAUAAUUAAGUUGUAUUUAAAAUUUUGUACCAUGUAUUUGGCGACUCAAGAUGGGUGAUGUAUACCUAUUUUGGGGGCGUCAUAGUUGGUAUCAAAGCUUAGGGAUAUGAUCCCUGGCUGAGAUGUGAGACAAGAACUAGGAGGGGAGAGACGGGGAAUUCCUUCGCUAGUAUGACCUACCUAAGUUUAUUUGGUAUUUAAUUGGUCUGUCAGAGUAUAUGGAUAAUAUGUGACAUGUCUAUUAACCCUUAUUUUGUGGCAGUAUUUGAAAAUGACAUCCAAAAAUGUUGAGAUAAACAAUGAAGCACAUGAGACCGUUGAGUCACCAACGAUCAAUACCCAGGAUAAUGUGCAACAGGAAGAAAAUAAUCCUCAGGUAAACAAUAACACCGAUGAAAUGAUGAACGAUGGGAUGUUCAGAGGCUUUAUGCAAUUCAUGCAACAUAAGGCGAGAGCGGCUUCUGUUCAAAAUGCUGGUGGAAACACUGGAAACUCUCGGAUGGUCACCGCCAAACAGUUCAAGGAGCUGGGACCACCAGAGUUUAUUAGAGAGCCAAAACCACUUAAGGCAGAGACAUGGAUAAAGCAGAUCACCAAGAUAUUUGAUGUCUUGGGAUGUUCCGAGGAGCAGAAGGUUCCCUUUUCCACCUUUAUAUUGCGAGGAGAGGCAGAUUUCUAGUGGGAAUCUGUAAAGCGUACUCAACCUACCUCACUGAAGAUGUCUUGGGAGAAGUUCUAAGAACUUUUCAAUGACAAGUACUUUCCUGAAAGUAUUCAUCACAUGAAGGUGGUAGAGUUCAUCAAGCUGGAAUAAAAUAAUAUGACUGUGUCGCAGUACGAGGCUAAGUUUACUGAGUUGUCCCGAUUUGCGUUCCACUUGGUUGAUAAUGAUGAAAGAAUGACGCGGAUGUUUCUAAGAGGUUUGAAACUUGAGAUACGACAAUACCUCGUUUCUCACAAACUGUGUUUGUAUUCAGAUAUUAUAAAUAGGGCUCAGCUAUUGGAGCGCGAUAAUGAGUCAACCCAAUCAAGAGAGAGCAGCCGACAAAUCGAUAAUACCAGUGAUAGCAGUCAUCGAAGCGGUUACAACAAACGUGGAGGGAAUCAACAUGCCAGAAAUGGUAACCACUUCGAUGGUAAUCAUGGACAAGACAAUAGGAAAUUUUAAGAAGAAAAGGUUCAACAACGUUGGAAAGACAGUAACACCAGCACCCGUUUUCAAGGAAGGAGAACGAUCGCCGGUCGUAUGUUACAAAUGCGGAGGGGAGGGACAUAUCAGUCCAAACUGCGUGAUGCAGUCCAAAACAUGUUACAAUUGUGGAAGAGAAGGUCACUUAGCCCAAUUUUGUCGUGUACCAAAGUCAAGUCCAGCUGGGAUGGAGGCAUCAAAGGCCGUCCCAGACAACACAAAAUCGGUAGUUCAAGGGAGAGCAUUUGUCGUAACCUACCAAAAAGCGAGGAAUCCGAAUGAGGUGAUCACGGGUAAGCUAAUCAUAAACUCUAUUGAAGUCUAUACCUUAUUUGAUAUCGGUUCUAUCCAUUCUUUUAUUUCUCCUACUUGCGCUCAACGUUUAAAUUUGACUCCAAAGAAAUUAGACUUUGACUUAUCUGUUGAAACUCCGUUGGGAGAAACCUUCAUUAAAACCACUGUUUUUAAGUCUUGUUUGAUUCAAAUUGGUAACCGCACGUUACCUGUCGAUCUUAUUCCUUUGAAAAUACUUGUAUUUGAUGUGAUUUUAGGGAUUGAUUGGUUAACUACUCAUCAUGAUAAAAUUGAUUGUUUUCGUAAGGUUGAUAACUUUAAUAUUCCUAACCAACCAAUUAUGCGAAUUCAAGCAACCAAACCACUAAAGUCAAUCAUUGUUAUAUCAAGCCAUAAAGCUAUUCGUUUAUUGAAAAAUGGAUGUCAAGCUUUCUUAGCCCAUGUCACAGAUUUAAACAAAAAUACGUCAGAUUUGAAUGAUAUUUCUAUUGUUAAUAAAUUUCCUGACAUAUUCCCUGAAGAACUUCCAGGUCUACCCCCGGAGUGUGAAAUUGAGUUUGGUAUUGACCUUGAACCUGGUACAAAACUCAUUUCCAAAGUCUCAUAUCCAAUGGCUCCUAUUGAACUUCAGGAGUUAAAAACUCAACUACAGGAAUUGUUAGACAUCAGUUUCAUUCGUCCUAGUACGUCUCCUUGGGGUGCUCUUAUUCUAUUUUUGAAGAAAAAAGAUGGAAGUAUGCGACUUUGUAUUGAUUAUCGGGAGUUAAAUCAUGUCACCAUCAAAAAUAGGUACCCAUUGCCACGUAUUGAUGACCUGUUUGACCAAUUGCAAGGCGCCAAAUUCUUUUCAAAGAUCGAUCUUCGUUCCGGAUAUCAUCAGUUGAAGAUUAAAACUGAUGACAUUCCAAAGACGGCUUUCAGAACUCGGUACGGGCAUUAUGAAUUCCUGGUCAUGUCCUUUGGAUUGACUAAUGCGCAUGCUGCCUUUAGAUCACUUUGUGGUCGUCUUUAUUGAUGACAUCCUCAUAUACUCCAAAAGCCGUGAAGAUCAUGAGCAACACUUGAGGCUGAUACUCCAAAAGCUUCGUGAAAAUAAGCUAUAUGCCAAGUUGAAGAAAUGUGAAUUAUGGCUUGAUGAAGUAACAUUUCUUGGGCACGUGAUAUCAAAUCAUGGAAUAUCUGUUGACCUGAAAAAGAUUAAAGUAAUUCAAAGCUGGGAGCAACCUAAGUCAGUGACCAAAAUAUGUAGCUUUCUCGGCUUAGCUGGUUAUUAUUGGAGAUUCGUAGAAGGGUUUUCUCGAAUCGCUACUCCAUUAACUCAGUUGACUCGAAAAGAUAUAAAAUUCGGUUGGAGCGAGGAAUGUGAGAAGAUAUUUCAAGAACUCAAGAGAAGACUCAUUUCAGCACCUGUUCUGAUAAUACCAUCUAGCUCAGAGGGAUUUGUCAUCUACAGUGAUGCUUCAGGCAAAGGGUUAGGAUGUGUUCUCACAUAAAAUGGGAAAGUCAUAGCCUAUGCCUCAUGACAACUCAAAGAAUAUGAAAGGAAUUAUCCUACUCAUGAUCUAGAGUUGGCAGCAGUCAUUUUUGCACUUAAGAUUUGGAGGUAUUACCUGUAUGGAGAGAAGGUGGAGAUCUAUACAGAUCAUAAAAGUGUCAAAUAUUUCUUCACUCAAAAGGAACUCAACAUGCGGCAACGACGAUGGCUUGAGCUGUUGAAAGAUUAUGAUCAUACCAUCCAAUACCAUCCUGGAAAAGUGAACGUGGUAGCUGACGCAUUGAGUAGAAGAUCAUAUGCGGGCAUGAGUGCGAUACUGUCAAUGUAAAGGCCCAUUUUGUAUGACUUACAAAGGAUGGAGAUAGAGUUAAAGACUCCAGGGACUCAUGUGAUGAUGAAGAAUAUACGAGUAGAACCGAUUUUAAUCGAUAAAGUUAAAGCUACUCAAGCUACAGUCCUGGAGCUGAUGUGUAUGAGGAAGAAAGUGCAAGAAGGUGCUAUUUCGGAAGCAAGAAUCGAUGAAGAAUGAAUACUUUGAGUCAACUCCAGACUUUGUGUUCCUAACGAUUCUGACUUGAAGUAUAAAAUCAUGAUAGGGACGCACAACACACCGUUUGCAAUCCAUCAUGGGAGUAACAAAAUGUAUUGUGAUCUUUGACAUAGAUUUUGGUGGAGCAAUGUGAAGAGCGAGAUAGCGGGGUUUAUCUCAAGGUGUCUAACUUGUCAACGAGUCAAGGCGGAGCAUCAAGUGCCAAAAGGUCCAUUGCAACCACUUGAAAUUCUAGAAUGGAAGUGGGAGCACAUUACCAUGUGUUUUGUUACUGGUCUUCCCAAGGUUUCUCAAGGCAUAGAUGCGAUUUGGGUCAUUGUUGAUAGAUUGACCAAGUCUGCUCAUUUCUUACCUAUACAAGAAACUUAUACACUUGAACGUCUUGCUCGUACGUACAUAAAUGAGAUUAUAAGACUACAUGGUAUUCCAGUAUCCUUAUUUUCUGAUCGAGACCCAAGAUUCACUUCACAAUUUUGGGUUAGUUUGCAAAAAGUUAUGGGCACGAAUUUACGAUUUAGUUCAGCAUAUCAUCCUCAAAUGGACGGGAAGUCGAAGAGGAAUAUUCAAACUCUUAAAGAUUUAUUAAGACUCUCCGUGCUUGACUUCAAGGGAAGUUGGGACAAGUUCUUAUCAUUGGUGGAGUUUUCUUACAACAAUAGUUAUCAAGCAAGUAUUGGCAUGGCUCCAUUUGAGGCGUUGUAUGGAAAAAAGUGUCGUUCUCCAGUAUGAUGGGAUGAGGUGGGUGAAGUAAUGUUAUUGGGACCGGAGUUGGUACGUAUGACUACGAAAAAAAUUCAAACGAUCCGACAAUGUAUAAAAACCUCACAAGAUCGAUAAAAGAGUUAUGAUGAUCUUCAUCGAAAGGAGGUGGAAUUCAAUAUUGGAGAUCAUGUGUUGUUACGUUUUGCUCCAUGGAAAGGAGUUACGAGAUUUGAAAAGAGAGAAAAGCUCAAUCCUCGAUUUAUUGGCCCAUUUUUAAUCCUCGAUCGAGUAGGAACUGUGGCCUAUAGACUCGCCUUACCGCCAAGUAAGUCUCGUGUUCUUAAUGUUUUUCACAUAUCUAUGUUACGUAAAUAUGUGAAAGACCCGAACCACAUUAUUGAAUUAGAACCAGAUGAGAUAGCAGAAGAUUUAACGUAUGAAGAGGUACCUGUGAAAAUCUUGGAUAAGAAUGAUCAUAUUCUACGUUCCAAGAUUAUACCUUAAGUUAAAGUUUUGUGGAGAAACCACGAUGUAGAGGAAAUGACCUGGGAGUUAGAAUCUAAAAUGAAAUCAAGGUAUCCUCACGUCUUCGUCAUACCAGGUAUGUACCCUAAUUUUGAGGGCAAAAUUUCAUAAGAAGGAGAGGUUGUAAGACCCCAACUUUUAUGAAUAAAGAUGAUUUUUUCUAUAUAUAUCACUUUUAAAUAUUAAGGUGUGAGUUUGUUAUAAUGUUAUAGUUGUGGGUAAUAUUUAUAAAUUUUGCAAAGUAAGCAAGUUGUUAUAUAAUAUUCAAUUAGUCGGGGAAUAUUCGUUUUAACAGGGAAUAUUCAUACGACGACACAAUCAUUGGUGGACCCCACAACAAAAGUAUUGUCGUAGUUAGAAAACGAUAGAAUUAUCUUUUUAUAAAAAUAACGGCAAAAGUGUUAUCGUUAAAACUGUUGAACUACCCAAUAGUAAAAGUACAGUAAUACGCGUAGGUGCAUAGUAGCACACGGUAUUGAUUAUUGAUGUUUACGUGAGAAGUCACUCAGUUAUACUCAAUUAUUGUUACAGUAAUUGUUGCAUCAUAUCUCUCAUAUUAUUGAUUCAAUUAUUGUCAUAAUAUCAUCUGCAUAAUAUGUUAUAUUAUUAAAUAAAUAAUUGAGAUGACAAAGUUAUUCAUAUUAUUAUUUACAAUAUUGAUAAUGUCUAAAAGUUUUGUCAAGGAGAGGUUAGAUAAUCUAAUUGCGCGCCAAGAAGGAGAAAUUCUUAUCGGAAAGCCCCCUCUUUUCUGGGAACGACCUGGUUAUUAAAUAUUGUGAGUUAUAAUAUUAAUAAUGAAUAAGUUCGUGUUGAUUAAAGAUGAAAUUGAUAGUUCCAUUGUGUGGGAAUUAUUAGUUUUAGUGGAAAUCAAUAUUUAUUUCAAUAAUAAUUGAUGUCUGGAGAUUAUAUUGACCAAUCAGGUAAUUAACCGGAUAAAUGAGCGAUUAAUUGCUAUUAAUUCACAUGCUUAUAACUAUUUAUUCACAUGUGUUUACUAUUGAUUCACAUGCAUGUACUAUUAGGGGAGUUGGUGCAAGAUUGAUAAUACUUGCAUGACUAAAUUAAAAAUAGAGGUAUAGAUGAAAGUAUUAUACUGUAAUUAUUUUUUUCACAUGUAUAGAACUAUUGAUCAGUCACAUGAUUUACUAUUAAUUCACACGAUUUACUAUUAGAGGAGGUGGUGCAAGUUUGAUAAUAUUUGCAGGACUAAAUUAAAAAUGAAGAAAAAGAGGAAGGUAUUAUACUGUAAUAUUUCGAGCCCCAAAAUGUGCAAUUAUCGAAACUAUAUUUUCCUAUAAAUAAAAGCUCAUUCUUCCUUCAUUCUCACAAAUUCACUAAGUCUCACAAGAGCAAUUAUAGAGAGAGAAGUUAUAGAGAGAAAGAAGAAGAGAAGUCUGCUACCUCACUAUUCCAGUAUCCAGUCUUUUUCUGAGGUAAGGGAUAUUAUUUUGUUCAGUAUUCAUUGGAAUAAUAUUUUUUUCAUACUCUGUAGUAUGUGAGUAAUAUUAUUUCAUCUCGUAUUCUUGAUUAUACCCUCAUUCUGUUAAAUUAAUGCUUCUAUACUCCGUGAAAUUAGUAGAAUAUCCUUGAUAUUUGCGCUUCAUCCAGUAUCUUUUCAUGAAAAUAUUAUUUUGAGCUUUCUUGAUAAUUAUUGAUCUUUUUAUGCCGGAAUACUAUUCAUGAGUUACUAUUUAUGGGUACUAUUCACCCCGUUAUUAUUCACUCAAAUAUUAUUCACUCGGAUAUUCGGGGCACUUUUCAUGACAGAGUACUAUUCACCCGGUUACUAUUCACACAAAUAUUAUUCACUCGGGUAUUUGGGACUUUUCAUGCCGGGGUACUAUUCGCAGGUUACUAUUCACGGGGUACUAUUCACCCAAAAAAUAUAUUUCUUUUAUGUCCAAAUUAUUUUUGAUACAUAAAUAUUAUUCUUGAAUUUUACUCCACAAAGCAGUAUCAUGUUGACAAUUUGGAUAUUUUUAAACUCUGAAUAAAUUUAAAUUUUUUAAUAUUUAUCCUUGAUUUCGUUUGAUUAAUGCUUAUAUCAUUGUCAUCAUCCUCAUGCUUAUAUUGUGAAGAAAGUCAUCUUUGGCUUACGUGCAUAGAUGGACUGUUGAUUGGUAUGAUUAUGACCAGGGAUCAUUCGAUAUAAUCAUGACCUGUAAUGUAACAAAUAAUGUGGUAAAAGUCCUCAUUGGCAUGUAGUUCAUUGAUGGACAGUUGUUGGUAUGAUUUUGACCAGGGAUUAUUCGGUAUAAUCAUGACCAUUGAUGAUUACAUGAAUAUCCUUGGCCGUGGUGCAGGGAUGAUUCGAUGAUGUGGUUUAUUUAUUAAGCUGAGUCUCAGCAAUAAAGUUGAUGAAAAACUUUUUUUAAAUCAUAGAAGAUAGUAGAUAUCAUGCUCUACUUGACUCUUCUAAUGGAUUGCUUGUUCCGCUGCAGUUAAACUUGUUAUCUAUUAUAUUCUAUCAGUUUAACAUUGUUGAAGGCUAACGAUAAUUUAUUUUGCAUUAUCUUAGUCAUAAUAUUUCUUACUGGGCUAGUUGAGCUUACCCUUUUUGCUUUUAUUGUUCUCUUCAGGAAAUGAGAACGUAGCUGGGACUAGUCGGGGAAUGGAGUGAUGGUCCGAGAUGGUGUCAUAACAGUCCUCACUAUUCUAUAAAAUAGUGUAACAAUAAAUGUAAUGAGGACUCCAUUGAGUGUGGAUAUUGUCUAGAUGACAAUAUUCGUAUUAAAACUCUCAGAGUAUAUUUUGUCGUAUUUUACACGACAGUUGUAUAAUUAAGUUGUAUUUAAAUUUUUAUACCAUGUAUUUGGCGACUCAAGAUGGGUGAUGUAUACCUAUUUUGGGGGCGUCACAGUCAUGUUCAUCUCAACACAUGUUCAUCUUUGCACUACAGGCCAAAGAUAUUCAUCAUGUAAUCGUUCAUCUUUGCACUACAUGCGAAAAAUAUUCAGUUAUAUCACCAUUUAGGACUGAGAAUGAUGAAAAUAUUUUAAAGAAAACGAAUCCAGUGAUAUAAAAGGAGAAGAAUUAAGGAUUCGUACUUUAGUUUAUCCAAAUUCAAAAAUAUUCCAUAAUAAACCAUUGUGGAGUAAAAUUCAAGAAUAAAGAUCAAAACAUGGAUACAAUCAAAGCUAGUAACCAUAAUAAACAACUUGGGCAAAGAAAGGAAAAUUUUAUUUUUUUUGUGAAAAGUGUCGUAUGCGUGAAUAGUGUCGUAUACGUGAAUAGUAAUCCCGACACAAAAAGACAAGAAUUUCUGAAGAAAAAUCUUAUCAAUAUUCUGGCAUAAUGAUAUUGAAAGAAAUAAUAUCAUUUAUAAAAAAAAAUAACAUCCCUUACCUCAAAAGAAUAGUACUUCUGGCUGGAAUAUCAGAUAUAACGCUGAAAGGAACCUGCACAGUAUAGCAACACUCAAAGUAUCAAAAAACUCACAAAAAUACGCUCGAUAAUAUAGAGAGAGAAAACUUCAGUUUCUGGUGUGAUUUUUAAUUCUGACUUAAGCACCCUAUUUAUAGGAAAAUGUUUAGAACACCAAAGCAGAAAAUUUAAUAAAAUAUUAAUAUAUUAAAAAAAAUUCACUCCCACCUCAGAAAAUCUGAAUUCAGCAUGUUUACCACUCAUGUGGGGCCCACACAAUUGUAAAAAAUGUUUUUCUUAAAAUAAAUAUUUUAAACUCCAAAAAUCAAUUAUUCUGUAACUUCAAUAAUUCAUAAUAAAUAGCUCUUUUAUCAGAAAAAUUUGAAUCUUAUCUCCAUUCCAUAGGAAAUUCAAUUCUCUACAACUUUGUAAGUUUAAGUUUUUCCAAUUUCCAAGCAGAAAUUGACCAAAAUCCACAUACGGAUGAUUUUGCAGGCUAUAAUCAAAUUUCAGUCAAAAAUAGGGUCCACCAACAUGUUUAACAUGUUUUUAGCAUUUAUUGUAACAAAAAUACUCUUCAUCAUCAUUUAUUCAUAUAUCACACAUUCGUUGUAAAAACACCAUUAUUAUAUUAUUAUAAUAUAAUAAUAUAUUUAAAUGAAUUAUUUUAUCAAAAAAGAUAAAAUAUCAAUUUUCAACCAUUGUCACUUAAAAAAAAUUCCUCCAUUUAUAUCCACAUAAAAUAAAUAUUUUCUUUAUCAUAUAAAUCAAUAAUUAAUUAUUCACAAAUAAUAUUACAGAAUCACAAUACUGACAACCAGGCUGUUCCCAAGAAAGAGGUGGCCUUCCGGUAAGGAUUUUUCCUUACUGGCGCGCAAUUAAAUAACCUCUCCUAGACAGAACUUUCUAGAUAUUUCUAAUAAUGUUAUCUAGUAAUAUUAUUAAAAUAAUAUAAAUUAUUGAUCUGAUAAUGGGAAAUGCUGUGUAGUGACAAUUAUUAAAACAAUAAUAAUAUAAAAUAUCAGCGUAGCAAUUAUUGAAUCAAUAAAAUAAAAUAUUGAACAGUAAUUACUGUAACAAUUAUUGAGUAGUGACUUCUUACGUAAGAAUCAAUAAUUAAUGCAAUACCGUGUGCUACUGUGCAACACCGCGUAUUACUGUGUUUUAACCACCGGGUAUUCCAAUAGUGUUAAUGGUAACAACUAUGUUGUUAUUUAAAAAAACUCAUACUUGUCAUUUUCAUCCAAUCGCUUUUCGUUAUGGGGCCCACAAAAGGCUGCGCCAUCGUAUGAAUAUUCUCCGACAGCAAGAAUAUUCCACGACCAAACGAAUAUUCCCCGACAACAAUGAAUAUUUUAUAACCACUUGCUUAUUUAAAAUAUUUGCUCAUUCUACACAUACCUAACCACAUUAAUCAAAUCAACCCUUACUAUUUCAAAAUAAUAAAUAGAGGAAAUUCCAUUUUAUUCAUAAAAGUUGGGGUCUUACAUAGUACCCCGUGAAUAGUACUUCGAGUGAAUAGUACCCCGAAUGAAAAUAAUGAAAUUUAAUAAGAAAGUUCAAACCAAUAUUCCAAUGAAAUGAUACUAGAAGAAGCGCAAAACUCAAGGAUAUUUUACUAAUUUCAGGGAUUAUAGAAGCAAUACUUACCAUAGUAAGUUUAGAUUUAGAAAUAUGAAAAGAAAUAGUAUACAAAACUGCAAAUGGAUUUUCACCCGUCAUGCAGUAAUCCGCGUAGACAAAUAUUUUCCACAAAUAAAGAAUGAGUAUGAAGGGUUAUUCACCAUGGAUGCGGUAAUCCACGUAGACAGGUUACUCCCGCAGUUUAAUAAAUAAUGAAUACUGCAAUAGUGAAGUAGCAAAAUACACUUCUUCUUUGUCUUUAUAGUUUUAGUGAAUUCGUAAGAAAGAAUAAAGAAAUGAGCUUCUAUUUAUAGGAUAAUGGACUAAAUAAUAACUGAUUCACGGACGGUCUAAAUUGAUUUACUAUUAAAAUCUCAACCGUUCCAUAUUGAUUUACUAUUAAAACCUCAACCGACGGUCUGAAAAAUUAUCACAUCUCCCCAUGGAAUAAUAAGCCAAACUUACAACAAAUGUCUCAUGACAAACCCCUCUAUUUAUAUCAAAAAUUGAAUAAAUAUUUACCACAAUUCAGUUAUCUUCAAUAAACACAUUUUUAAUCUUUCAAUAAUUAUUCAUCAUUAAUAUUAUAACUCACAAUAUUGACAACCAGAUCAUUCCCAGGAAAGAGGGGGCUUUCCGAUAUGGAUUUCUCCUUAUUGGCGCACAAUUAAAUAACCUAAACCCUUUCCUCGACAAAACUUUCUACACAUUAUCAAUAAUGCAAAUAAUAAUAUAAAUAAAUGUGUCGUCUCAAUUAUUGAUUUAAUAAUAUAAAAUAUUAUGCAGAUAAUAUUGUGGCAAUAAUUGAAUCAAUAAUAUGAGAUACUAUGCAACAACUACUGUAGCAAUUAUUGAAUGAAACUGAGUGACUUCUUACGUAAGCAUCAAUAAUUAGAGAUAUUGUGCAAUACCGUGUGCUACUGUGCAGCAACGCGUAUUACUGUUCUUUCAUCACCGAUAUUUCAAUAGCUAACGGUAAAAGUUUUGCCGUUAUUUUUUAUAAAAAGGUUAUUUAUGCCACUUUCUAUAUCCGACAGUUAUUUCGUUAUGUGGGGUCCACCAAUGAUCAUGCUUUCUUAUGAAUAUUUUCGACAAAAGAAUAUUCCCCGACCAAACGAAUAUUUUAUGACAACUUGCUUACUUUGCAAAAAAUUGCACAUAUCACCCAUAACUAUACCAUUAUAUCAAAUCAAUACCUUAUUAUUCAAAAUAAUAUUUAGAGAAAAUAAAAUCUUUAUUAAUAAAAAGUUGGGGUCUUACAACCUCCCCUCCUUAUGAAAUUUCAUCCUCGAAAUUGAUGUACGUACCUGGUAUGUCGAAGAUGUGAGGAUACCUUGUUUUUAUUUCAGAUUCUAACUCCCAGAUCAUUUCCUCAAUAUCAUGGUUUCUCCAUAAAACAUUGAAUUGAGGAAUAACCUUUGAGCGUAGAAUAUGCUCCUUCUUAUCCAAGAUCUUGAUAGGUACCUUCUGUGAAAAAUGUUAUGAACACGAGACAUACUUUGUGGUAAGGCGAGUCUAUAGGCCACAGUUCCUACUCGAUCAAGGAUUUCAAAUAGAACAAUAAAUCGAUGGUUGAGAUUUCCUCUAUUCGUCGAUUCUUGCUUCUAGAAUAGCACCUUCUUGCACCUUCUUCUUCAUAUUCAUCAGCUCUGAGUCUAUAGCUUGAGCAGCUUUAACUAUAUCGAUUAAAGUCAGUUCUACUCAUAUAUUUAUCAUUUUCACGUGGGUCCUUAAAGUCUUUAAUUCUAUCUCCAUACUUUUUAAGCCAUACAAAAUGGGCCUUUGUGUUGACAAUAUCGCACUCGAAGCCGCAUAUGAUCUUCUACUCAACGCGUCAGCUACCACGUUUGUUUUUCCAAGAUGGUAUUGAAUGGUAUAGCCGUAAUCUUUCAACCGCUCGAGCCAACGUCUUUGGCGCAUGUUAAGUUCCUUUUGAGUGAAAAAAUAUUUGAGGCUCUUAUGGUCUGUGUAGAUCUCCACUUUCUCCCCAACAGGUAGUGUCUCCAGAUCUUUAGCGCGAAAAAAACUGCUGCCAACUCUAGAUCAUGGGUAUGAUAAUUUCUCUCAUAUUCUUUGAGUUGUCAAGAGGCAUAGUGUGACGCCUCCAAAGUAUUUUUUACAUCACUCAUUCUGAGUCACCAAAUACAUGAUAUAGAAAAUAACAACUUUAUUAUUACAAUUGUCGUGCAAAAUACGACAACACGUACUGUGAGUUUAAAUACAAAUAUUGUCUUCUAGAUAAUAUCCACACUCAAAUAAGUCCUCAUUACAAUUAUUGAUAUACUAUUUUACAAAAAUAGCGAGGACUGCUAAAAUAACUUUCUAGAACCAUCAUUCCAUACCCCGGGUAGUUCCUGCUAAAUUCUCACUUUUUGAGAAGAAAAAUGGAACAAAAAGGAAAAGGGUGAGUUCAACUAGCCCAGUAAAGAAUAUUAUGACUAAGAUAAUAUAAAACAAAUUAUCAUUAGUCUUCAACAGGGAAAAAUCUGAUAGAAUAUAAUAGACAACAAGUUUUAGAUCAACAACUACAGCGGAAAUAACAAUCCAUUAGAAGUGUCAAGUAGAGAAUGAAUUCUAUUGGAAGAAUGCAUAUUGUGAUUUGAUGUUUAAUACUCUUGAUUAUGUGUAAAGUUCUUCAAAGAAUAUAUGUACAAGGACUUAGUGACAGAUCAAAAUUGUUAGGUUGAUCUUAGCCUUUAAUAUUCACUUGUAUAGAUAAAGAGAUCAAAUUUAUUAAGAUUGAUCUGUGGCUAGAAAGAUAUAGAUAGGCCUUGAAAAGAAUUGUAGUCUAUCUGGCUGAUCAACAGAAUGCAGAAGCCAAGGCAAGAUCGUAGUGCUGAACUGAUAGCAGUAUAUCUGCAGUAAGGGCCUCUCAAGGAAUCGUAGAGUGAUCUAGACAUCUGCCGAGUUAACUCAAAGAUCGUAGUAUGUUCUCAGAAACGUUGAGUCUGCAGAACGAGCAAGUGAUGAUCGUCGUGUUAAAAGACCGUAGUGUGAGCAAUCGUAGUGUUCUCUUAAGGACCAGCACCAAUAUGACAAGACACUACGAUUUGGAUAGUAGAGUGUCAUCUGUCUUAUGUCAGAAGCAUCAAGCCCUAACUUUCGAUUCCAACAAAUGAGGAAUGGGUUUUGAACGUUAAAACUAUCACCAGUCCCAACGGUACAAAAGAUAUCCUUAGUAUUGAUCAAAAGAGACGCAUUCAAGAAGUUAAGAAAAGGACCAUUGGGCAGAGGAAAACAACUUUUGAGGCGUUAGGUGAGAAAGCAGUCUGUUGUGUCAGUGGGCCAGAGUGCUAUUCAGAAGAUAUGCAGAAAAGUCUCCAUCAAAGCUCAAAGAUGUCAAACGCAUUUAAUGCCUCAUCAGAUGACUUCAACGGAUAGAUUUCAAGAUCUCAUAUAUACAGAACAAAGGCAGAUGAGAGGAAAGUAAGCAAGCAUUAUACAAAACGAACAAGAACACAAAGUACAGGACUCUACGAUCUGAGAAAAAGAUAAAAAAAGCUUGCUCAGCUACUCAGUUCUUUCGAACAAGUGCUUACCUGUAACUGAGUAGCCUCCAUCACUACUCAACAACUGUAAAUCUACUAAAGUGUGAGGUUCCAAAUUAGAAGAACUUGAAGAGUUCUAAGUGAACUGUGAAGAACCAAGUCUGAAAGACUUGAAGAGUUCUAAGUGAACUGUAAGAUACCAAGUUGCUGAACUUGAAGAGUUCAAGAGUGAACUAAGAAGUACCUAGAUUGCUGAUCUAGAAGGAAUCUGUGAGAUUCAAGAAGUGUAACAAUCAUCCUUAGUGGAUUUCCUACUCAAGGAGUAGAAGAGUGUACUAGGAGCCUUUAGUGCUCUGAACCACUUAAAACUAUUAUGUUCAUAUAACUGCUAUAACUGCAAUAUCUGCUAUAUCUGUCAUAACUGCCUUAAUCUCAUUAACUCAAGAUAUAUUUCAAAAGGUUUUUCACAUACACUCAUUCCGCUGUGCAUUGAUUGCUAUCAACUUAACGGGUUUAAAAUAAAAAGUUUUAAUUAUCUAUUCAACCCCCCUUCUAGAUAUCUAUCGUGCCUACUGGGAACUAACAAAUUCUACUAUCUUCUAAGAUUUAAAAGUCCAUCAUCAAUAUUUUAUCCCUGUAACAUCAAUCAAUAUACAUCUUGAAUCAAAUUUUCAUCUUUGCACUACAGGCCAAAGAUAUUCAUUUGUAUCACCAGUUGGUCAUGUUCAUCUCAACACCUNNNNNNNNNNNNNNNNNNNNNNNNNNNNNNNNNNNNNNNNNNNNNNNNNNNNNNNNNNNNNNNNNNNNNNNNNNNNNNNNNNNNNNNNNNNNNNNNNNNNNNNNNNNNNNNNNNNNNNNNNNNNNNNNNNNNNNNNNNNNNNNNNNNNNNNNNNNNNNNNNNNNNNNNNNNNNNNNNNNNNNNNNNNNNNNNNNNNNNNNNNNNNNNNNNNNNNNNNNNNNNNNNNNNNNNNNNNNNNNNNNNNNNNNNNNNNNNNNNNNNNNNNNNNNNNNNNNNNNNNNNNNNNNNNNNNNNNNNNNNNNNNNNNNNNNNNNNNNNNNNNNNCUACUGGGAACUAACAAUUGGUAUCAAAGUAGGUUCUAUAAUACAGCCCACAAAGCUUAAGUAGAUCAAAUGGCACACUUACCAAGCGAAUCAAAGACAGGAGGAGACAGCAAGCCACCAAUGUGCAACAAAGAUAAAUUUGCUAACUGGAAGGUUAGGAUGUAAGCUUACAUGGACUCAAUGGAUGAAGAUCUAUUUGAAACCAUUCAAAAUGGACCCUACAUUCCUACAAAGCUUGCACUAACAGCAGAUGAUCGAAAUAAAGUACAGAUCAAGGUCAAAGAAGAAUGGACAGAGAAUGAGAAGAGAGCUGUCCAGCUUGAUAAAAAGGCCAAGAAUAUCUUAUUCCAAUCAUUAGAAGAUGACCUAUUUGAAAACGUGGUCAACUGCAAGACAGCUAAGGAGGUUUGGGAAGCACUACUCAUCAUGCAUGAAGGAACAGAAGAAGUCAGAGAAAAUAAACAAUCUCUCCUAACUCAACAAUAUGAAAUGUUUGCUCAUGUUCAAGGAGAAAAUGUUACUGCUACAUACGAGAGAUUCAACAUUCUGCUCAACUCUCUACGAGCUUAUGGAAAGAUCUAUCCAAACAAGGAUUUGAUCAUAAAGUUCAUGAGAGCUUUACCAAGUAAGUGGGAUGCCAAAACAACAGGCAUUAGAGAAUCAAAGAAUCUGCAUGAAAUGACUGUUCAAUAGUUAUAUGGUAAUCUCCUCACAUACGAGCUGGAGCUGACACAACGAGCAGAAAUAUUGUCUGAAGGAAGAAAGAAAGACAAAGGUGUUGCCCUCAAAGUAACUAAAAAUACAUCCAAGAUCAACACUGAUGCUGACUCUGACUACGAUGAAGAUGAUGAUGAGGACCUUGCAAUGCUAGUCAAGAGACUAAGAAGAUUCAUGAGACAAGGUAGGACUAGCAAGCUAAAGAAAGGUGGAAACUACAACAGCUAGGAACAAAUGAAUGAUCUAUGCUACAACUGCAAGAAACCUGGCCACUUCAUCGCCAACUGCAACAAACCUCUCAGGGAAGAACUCAAAAAGAAAUUAAACGCAAAGAAGGAAUACAAAGGUAACAAGAGACCAGCAAAGAAAGACAAAGGCCUUAUAGCUGGAGGAUCGUGGAGUGACUCUGACAAUUACUCAACUCCAGAAUUUGGAGACGAUGAAGAUCCCCAGAUGGCUAACCUCUAUCUAAUGGCCAAAAGUCCAAGGGACAAACAGAACUCCAAUAUACAUGAAGUAAGUAUUGAUGAGGUAUUUGACUUUAACUCUCCUGACGUAGAUAUUAAUGAUCUCAAAACUGCAUUACAUGGCAUAACAUCAGAUCUACACCAAUAUAUGAAGUGGUUUAGAGUUCUGUCUAAGGGUUAUUAACUUCUUCAAAAGGAGAAAGAAAAAGUUUAAGAAGAACUGGAAACUGCUCUUCUCAACACUAAUUCUUUCUCUGAACUUGAAGUUGAGAAUAAGCUCUUGAGACAAUCAAGUGAGCUUAAUGCCAAAUGAGAGUCUAGUCUAACCUCAAAAAUUGAGGAUCUAAAAAAGACCAUCUCAACAUGGAAUAAAUCCUCUUCAUCCAUGGACUCUUUGAUCUCUAAUUAGAGGAAUAUCUCUGAUAGAACAGGACUAGGCUUUGGGGAAUCUAUCCCAUGGUCAAGUGUGGAAAAACCAAAGGAUAUUAACACUGGUAAUGCCUCAGGCCUUAGUAGAGGUAUUAUAUUUGUGAAAUCCUCACAGAAUGAUGAGCCCGUCAAAUCCUGCUCGACUAACUCAAUUCAUAUUCCCAGAAGUCGGGGAUCUCAUGCUGGUCUAGGUUUCAGAAAAGAGAAAAGUAAUCUAGCCACUACUCAUCAACCUCGAAGGAUCGUAGAGUCAAAUAAAAUCAACUCUACGAACCAACCAGGAAGAUACAGUAAUAGUAAGAUAUACUCUCCUAAAUUUAUGAAACAAAAGAACACAUGGAAAAAGGUAUAUCAGCCUAGCAGGUGGAUGACCAGUAACCCACAAAAGUCCAAAUGGAGGAAGACCUCUCAUACACACACGUACACACAUCAUAUCAAAUGCUUUGAGUGCCACAGAGUUGGUCACAAGGCUGUUAGUUGUCAUUAUAACUCCAUGCACGAAAGACCCAAAAUCAAGCAGAUUUGGGUCCCCAAGGGUACUAACAUAGUAGGACCCAUGCAAAUGUGGGUACCAAAAUGAAGGUUCAAUGUUAUCUCAGGAAAGGAGCUCUGGGAACUCAACCUGGUAUCUGGACAGUGGAUGUUCAAGGCACAUGACUGGGAACAAAGCUCUCCUAACUAACUUCAUAGAGAAGAAGGGUCCCUCGGUCAUAUUUGGAGAUAAUGGCACUGGCAAGACAAGAGGCUAUGGCUCAGCCGGAAAUGGUGCGAUAUCAUUCAGUAAAGUAGCCUAUGUGGAAGGACUACAGCACAACCUUCUAAGCAUUAGCCAACUCUGUGACAAGGGGCAUCAAGUAACAUUCAUCAAUAAUCAAUGUCAAGUCCGAGAUCUGAAGACAUCUGCAGUAAAGCUAACUGGAACAAGAGAAGGAAAUGUCUACACAGUAAAUCUUGGACAACUAAGCUCAGACGUGACAAUAUGCUUUCUGGCUAAAGCAUCUGAAGAAAUGAGCUGGCUAUGGCAUCGAAGAUUAUCCCAUCUCAACUUCAAAAAUAUGUCCAAAUUGGCAUCAAAAGAUCUAGUUGCAGGACUACCAAAGUUUAACUUUGUUAAAGAAAGGCCUUGCAAUGCCUGUCAACUUGGGAAGCAGACCAGAAGUACAUUCAAGAGUAAAACUAUCAACUCCAUUGACAAGCCGUUGCAGCUGUUACACAUGGAUCUUUUUGGGCCAAUUCCAACAACAAGCCUUGGGGGAAAGAGAUACUCACUGGUCGUAGUUGACGACUACACCAAAUUUACACAGGUAUACUUUCUAACAUCAAAAGAUGAAACAAGCCUCCAACUAAUCAAGAUGUUCAAGCUGGUGAUGAAUGAGAAAGGAAAGAAAAUCAAGGCAAUAAGAAGUGAUCAUGGCAGAGAAUUUGAUUUCUCAGAAAUAGAUCAGUUCUGCACAGACAAUGGGAUUAGUCACAACUUCUCAGCUCCACGAACUCCCCAACAAAAUGGAGUUGCUGAGAGAAAGAACAUGACAUUAAUAGAAGCUGGAAGAACUCUACUAGUUGUAGCUCAUCUACCGGAGUACUUAUGGGCAGAAGCGGUCAACACUGCGUGUUAUACUCAAAACAGAUCACUCAUACACUCUACGAUUAAAAAGACUCCUUAUGAACUUUGGAAAUGAAGAAAGCCAAAUGUCAGCUACUUUCAUGUGUUCGGCUAUGCAUGCUACAUACUCAACAAUGGAAAGAAGUACUUGACAAAGUUUCAACCAAAAUCAGACGAAGGAAUCUUUCUUGGAUAUGCCACAAACAGCAAGGCCUACAGAGUGUUCAACAAGAAGACACUGAGUGUAGAAGUCUCGAUUCACAUUAUCUUUAAUCAAACAGACUCAGACAAAACAGUGCUCCAAGAUACUGCGACUAGCAGUUCAGACACUACGAACGAGAUCGUCGAGCCCAAUACUACGAUCGUAGUGCCUGAUAAUGAAUUCGUUGAGCAAGAAAAUGAGAUCGUAGAAAGGCCUAUGCCAGACAAUGAAGCUUCACAUCACGAAGAAGAAAUAAACCUUGAAGAUCUGAGACAAGAAGGCAUAAAAACGGAUGUUCCAACAGGAAGUAGAUGGGCAAGAGAUCACACUCAAGAUCUAAUUAUUGGAGAUCCAAAUGUAAGAGUCAAAACAAGAGCUGCUACUCAAAAUGAAUGUUUCUAUCUAAGCUUCCUAUCUCAAAUGGAACCAAAGAAGAUAGAGGAUGCUAUGGAAGAUUCCAGCUGGAUAGAAGCCAUGCAGGAAGAACUUAAUCAGUUCGAGAGAAGCAAAGUAUGGAGACUGGUACCAAGACCAAAGAAUCACCCUGUUAUUGGAACCAAAUGGAUAUUCAGAAACAAGAUGGAUGAAGAUGGAGUAAUCACCAGAAAUAAGGCAAGACUAGUGGCUAAGGGUUAUUCUCAGGAAGAAGGUAUCGACUAUGACGAGACAUUUGCACCUGUUGCCAGACUAGAAGCCAUCAGAAUAUUCCUUGCUUUUGCUACUCACAUGAAGUUCAAGGUCUUCCAAAUGGAUGUCAAAAGUGCAUUCCUAAAUGGUGAACUUCAAGAAGAAGUCUACGUAGAGCAGCCUCCAGGUUUCAUCAAUCCACUUCUUUCUAAUUAUGUCUUUAGAUUAGACAAAGCCUUAUAUGGUCUCAAAAAAGCACCUAGAGCAUGGUAUGAAACACUGACUAACUUUCUUAUUGAAAAUGGAUUUACUAGAGGUAGAGUAGAUACUAUAUUAUUUCUUAGAAAGAAUAAAGAUAAAGUCCUAUUAGUUCAAAUCUAUGUUGAUGACAUUAUCUUUGGCUCUACUGAUGAAAAGUUGUGCAAAAGAUUUUCUAAGCUUAUGCAGAGCAAAUUUGAAAUGAGCAUGAUGGGUGAGCUGAACUUCUUUCUUGGACUGCAAAUAAAGCAGACUGAUGAAGGAAUCUUCAUAAAUCAAGCCAAAUACAUUAAAGACUUGCUAAAAAAGUAUGUCAUGGAAUCAGCAUCUCCUAUGAAAACCCCAAUUGCUCCUGCUACCAAGCUUGACAAAGAUGAAAAAGGUAAAAGUAUUGAUAUGACUCAAUACAGAGGUAUGAUUGGCUCUCUUUUAUAUCUCACUGCCAGUAGACCAGAUAUAAUGUUUGCAACAUGUAUUUGUGCUAGAUUUCAAGCUUGUCCUAAAGAAUCUCACUUAACUGCUGUAAAGAGGAUUUUUAGGUACCUCAAGGGUACACCUCACUUGGGGCUCUGGUAUCCCAAGGAAUCCUCAUUUAAGUUAAUAGGAUACACAGAUGCUGAUUUUGCAGGCUACAAAAUAGAUAGAAAAAGUACCAGUGGCACUUGUCAACUACUAGGUAAUAAACUUGUAUCCUGGUUCAGCAAGAAGCAAAACUCAGUAUCCACUUCAACUGCAGAAGCUGAAUAUAUCGCUGCUGGCAGUUGCUGUGCGCAGAUCUUGUGGAUGAAGAAUCAGCUAGUAUAUUAUGGGUUUGAAUUCAAAUCUAUACCUAUUCAUUGUAACAACACAAGUGCAAUUGCUAUAACUCAUAAUCCUGUCAUGCAUUCUAGGACAAAGCAUAUAGAAAUUAGAUAUCACUUCAUUAGGGAUCAUGUUCAAAAUGGAAAUAUUUCUUUACAAUAUAUCCCUACUGAAAAUCAACUUGCUGAUGUUUUUACAAAACCUCUAGAUGAAUCCAGAUUCAAUAAAUUGAUAAGUGAACUAGGCAUGCUUAAUUUGAAAGCAUGAAAUAUUGUGCUUUAGUUUGUACUAACCAUACAGACUUAGAGGCUGUGUUCGAAGUCAAAACAUGAUUGAAGGAAGUCCACGAUCGUAGAGCCAAAGUACAUAAAACUCAACGAACGCUGAACAGAAUCAACGAUCGAAGUACAGAUUCAACAAAGCAAGAGAAGCACCCCGUGAUGAUCAAGCAUAACUCAAAUCAUUCCUUCUGAUAAGUGCCUCUGGGACAAACCUAACCCUUGUUUUAUUCAAGAGGUUGGCCCUUCUUGAGUCACUCUUAUUCAAGAAGAAUGUUAAGUCAAAAAGAUUCAUCACAAGGACCUAUUCAGACUCUACGACCGCUAACACAGACUCGACGAUUGCCGAACAGACACUACGACUGAUGAACAGACUCGACAAAGUUCAAAGACUAUCUCAAUGAUCGUAGUCCUCCUGAAGAAAGCAUUGGCUCGGAUAUGUUAAGGACAAUUCAGUACAAUCCUUCUCUGACAGAUUCGUAGAGUCAAGUAGAAUUUGACACCUGUCCUACUAAGCAAAAUAGAGAAAGGAAAGUUACUAGUACGAAUUAAAAUCGUCUUUUUAAGUUCAAAAGAUCAUCUCCCUCUCAUCUUCUCUCAAGCAGAAACCCUAAAUCAGUAGCAAGCUCUGUAAACCCCAUCUCCCACAAAGAAAUUAAUGGCAGCUUCCAAUGUUAUUUCCGGCUACAGACUUUGCUUUGACGAAUUCAAAACUGCUGAACCCCAGUUUCACAAGAAUCUGUCUCUACUAAAGAAGGCAGGUCUCAAAGAAGCCUUGGGUACGGAUACAUUGAUCUACCUGAAGUUGGUCAAGGAGUUCUACAAUAACGGUGUAUUUGAAGACAACACUAUCACAGCACGGGUAAGGAACGUUGAAAUCAAAUUGAAGGCUGAGGAUAUUAACCUAGCCCUAGGUCUCAAGUCAGAAGGGUACCGGUCCAUAGAAGGAAUAGACUUUUACAAGGGUCUCAAGAAGAUGCAUCACAAGAAGUCACCAACUGUUAAAGGAUACAAAAAGAAGGAAUUCCCACAAAGGUAUGAGUUUCUGGCCGACAUUGUUGGAAAAUGCAUAUGCUGUAAAAGCUCAGGCCAUGACUCUGUAAAUGAGGUACAAUUAAAACUCAUGACUGCCUUAUGUUAUAAAACGCAACUAAACUAUGGGGCUAUUUUACUUAAAUGGAUUGGGAAAUGGAUGAGCAACUCAAAGAAAACCAAGAGCUCACAGAAGAUGCUCUACGGUCGAUUCAUCAGUAUUAUCCUACAGGCUGCUCUUGGUGAUCUAAUUGAAGAUGAUGAAGGUGAAACCAUAAAUCCAAACAGACGAAUGACCCAGCAGCUGUUUGAAAACUGGAAAAGAAAUCCAGCUGAAAAUGUGAAGAUGACAUGUGAAUCCAGUGAUCAAACUGGUGAAGUAAAGGGAAUAGGAACUGCAGGGAAUAUGUCUGUUGUCAAAGAAUCUGAGGAAGAAGAAGAAGCAAAUAAGGGAGAACCCAUUACGUUAGUCAAAAAAAGGAAAGUUAAAUCAGUAGAAGAGCCUCAAGGAUCCUCCACCAACAAACAUGCAGAGUCCUCAAACAUUGAGACUCUCAGAAUCUUAAGAAGAAAGGAACAACAAGCUGAGGCUGCAGAAGACAGAGCAACAAUAUCACAACUGCUGAAGAUGAGUAAGACCAGCCACAAGGGCAAGAAGCCAUCAGUCUCUUCGAUCGUCGAGUCUCCUCCGAUCAUAGAGCACAGAUCAAACAAGGAAGCUGUUGUCUUGGCCAGUCUGAAGGACACAACUGAAGAAAGCCCUGAGGCUGUAGCACAGGCUAAAAAGCCAAGGAGGAAACUUGUCAAGAAGUACAUUCUUGCCAAUAAAGAACUGCUAAGAAGGGAAAUAGAAGAACUGAAUACCAAAAAGGAACCAACCAGUGAAUGUCAAGAAAUCAUUACUCCUACUGAAGAGAAGGUACCUGAAGACCACAUGAUAGAAGAUACACCCACUGAGGGGGAGAUGCCCAAAAAUCUUCCACUAGAGAAUGCUCCAGUUGAGGGGGAGCUAUUGACAUCUCAACAAAAUGAUCAAACUGAGGGGGAGGAUUAUGACACCUCAAUUGCUGAAAAAGAAGUUCCUGGAGAAGUUAAUAAAGAACCAGUGCAAGCACAUCCUGAAACAAUUGAUAUAAUGGAAUCCUCAACCGAGAGCAGAGAAGAAAAUGAAGAAGAUGAAGUCAAAAUCAUUGCAGAAGGCAUAGAUGGAUACAGAAGAUACAACUAUGAGCAACUAUUUUCAUAUCUUCCUAUGAUGUCCUUCCACCGGGCCCAAAUUCUAAACUCUUGGGAUCACAUAUUCCAGAGCUUCAAAGAAUACCCGGCUAUCUCUGUACUGGCCAAUGGAUUUCCAGGAAAACUCAAAUUUGCCAAGAAGCUUCUCACCAACAAUUCUUCCCCACAGGACAAACUUGAGGUACUAUCAAUUCCAAUUAUUUUCAGAACCAAUCAUUUGCCAUCAACCUCAUUCAAUCAAUUCUAUGAAAUCCCACAAUGGUUGCAAGUAAUUCUCCAUCCCCAAAACCAAUUUCCAGUUACAAGGUCCCAAAAUCCUGUAACUGAGGAACCAAAUAUAACCAACCCCAUAAGGCUGCCAAACUCUAUCCUCUCUACGAUUACUAACUCUAGCCCUCUGAUAGAGUGCACACCUCCAAUCGUAGAGUCACCAAGUUUCACCAUCCAAAACUAGGCCCCUCCAUCAAAUAUCCAUUCCUCGUCCAGAAAUGAAUGCUUCAAUCUUGAACUUGCUCUCUGCUCACUGAAAGAACAAUUCAACAAUACACCACCUUCCUCCUCAAAAUUUCCCCAAUUGGAUGAAAUCCUUUCAGAAUUGUCUACCAAGGCUGAUCUAUCAGCCAUGUCUGAGAAAAUGGUCAAGGAACUAGACGAGAGUCUUGACGAUCAUACUGCACUGAUACAGCUGAGACUGACAUCCAUGAUCAAUGCUGCAAACACCCUUCCAAGAUCCCUGAGCUCUAAACUGUCUAAAACACUCAAAGAGAUUAUCAGCGAAAUGCUACAAAGCAUAAAGGACAGGGAUGAUAUUCACUUCCUCUCAGCCAAAAGACAUCGGGAUGCUGUCUUGAUUUUACAGAAAACUCAAGAAUCUCAGAACCAGCAGAUGAUACAAAGCAUUCAAAAUCUUCUAACUGCUGUCAAAGAAUUUCAACAAUUCUAUGUCAGCAGCGGCCAACAAACAGACAACAUUCUCUCCAUCCUUCAGCAAAGAGAAGCUAGGUCUGAAGUUCUCAUCGAAGAAAAUAGAGAAGACAUUGCUCAGACCAAGAGUCAGCUCAACGAACUUGUCCAAGGAGUUGCUCAUCUUUUCGAAGACAUUCGAACCCUUGAUGCUGACAUAAAGGGGGAGAAUAGAGGCAAAGGAGAUCGGGAAGGUCAAGGAGGCAAGGGGAGAGGCAGAGGACAAUUCCAAACUCAAACAAUGAGGAACCCACCUACAAGGCAAAUCUCUCAGCAGACUCCACAAUCAAGCUAUCAGACUCAACGAUCUGAUCAGCAGGAAGUUUUGGUAGCUCAACCUUUAAGGAGUCUAGGGCCAACUACUAGCUCGCAUGAAGUAACUGCAACAGGCCUAAGAAUACCAAUUGGAUAUCCAUCAUUUAUGAAUAGGCACGACCACAAUCCAAGAUUAAGCCCUAGUGAACUCGAAGAUUUAGCCAGGAGAGAUGAAGCCAGCAGAAAAAGGAGAGCAGAAGAAAAGGCAAAACCUCCAAGGAGCAAAAGGCCAAGGAAAUAGAGAUAAAUUGAAUUUCAAUUCUUAUUGAUGUAAUUAAUCUCAAAUGUAACAUCUAUCCUCAUACAUCAAUAAAUUCAUGCUUACUCUCUAGAAAUUUUAGCUGCUCACUGAAAUACUAAGUCAUGUUUACUUUUUCUGCAACUGCAUAUAGAAUUUAAUAAUCAUGACAACAAAUCUCCUUGGUUAUGUCAACAUCAAAUAGGGGGAGAUUGUUGGAAGAAUGCAUAUUGUGAUUUGAUGUUUAAUACUCUUGAUUAUGUGUAAAGUCCUUCAAAGAAUAUAUGUACAAGGACUUAGUGACAGAUCAAAAUUGUUAGGUUGAUCUUAGCCUUUAAUAUUCACUUGUAUAGAUAAAGAGAUCAAAUUUGUUAGGAUUGAUCUGUGGCUAGAAAGAUAUAGAUAGGCCUUAAAAAGAAUUGUAGUCUAUCUGGUUGAUCAACAGAAUGCAGAAGCCAAGUCAAGAUCGUAGUGCUGAAGUGAUAGCAGUAUAUCUGCAGUAAGGGCCUCUCAAGAAAUCGUAGAGUGAUCCAGACAUCUGCCGAGUUAACUCGAAGAUCGUAGUGUGUUCUCAGAAACGUUGAGUCUGCAGAAUGAGCAAGUGAUGAUCGUCGUGUUAAAAGACCGUAGUGUGAGCAAUCGUAGUGUUCUCUUAAGGACCAGCACCAAUAUGACAAGACACUACGAUUUGGAUAGUAGAGUGUCAACUGUAAAUCUACUAAAGUGUGAGGUUCCAAGUUAAAAGAACUUGAAGAGUUCUAAGUGAACUGUGAAGAACCAAGUCUGAAAGACUUGAAGAGUUCUAAGUGAACUAUAAGAUACCAAGUUGCUGAACUUGAAGAGUUCAAGAGUGAACUAAGAAGUACCUAGAUUGCUGAUCUAGAAGGAAUCUGUGAGAUUCAAGAAGUGUAACAAUCAUCCUUAGUGGAUUUCCUACUCAAGUAGUAGAAGAGUGGACUAGGAGCCUUUAGUGCUCUGAACCACUUAAAACUAUUGUGUUCAUAUAACUGCUAUAACUACUAUAACUGCAAUAUCUGCUAUAUCUAUCAUAACUACCUUAAUCUCAUUAACUCAAGAUAUAUUUCAAAAGGUUUUUCACAUACACUCAUUCCGCUGUGCAUUGAUUGCUAUCAACUUAACGGGUUUAAAAUAAAAAGUUUUAAUUAUCUAUUCAACCCCCCUUCUAGAUAUCUAUCGUGCCUACUGGGAACUAACAAAUUCUACUAUCUUCUAAGAUUUAAAAGUCCAUCAUCAAUAUUUUAUCCCUGUAACAUCAAUCAAUAUACAUCUUGAAUCAAAUUUUCAUCUUUGCACUACAGGCCAAAGAUAUUCAUUUGUAUCACCAGUUGGUCAUGUUCAUCUCAACACCUGUUCAUCUUUGCACUACGGGCCAAAGAUAUUCAUCAGUCAAUCAUUCAUCUUUGCACUACAGACCAAAGAUAUUCAGUAAUAUCAUUAUUUAGGACUGAGGAUGAUGAAAAAUAUCUUAAAGAAAACGAAUCUAGUGAGACAAAAGGACAAAUAUUAGGGAUUCAUACUACAGUUUAUCCAAGUUCAAAAGCACUUCUUAGUGGCAUAAAAUUAAAGAAUGAAGAUCAAAACAUGGAUACAAUCAAUGAUAGUAACCACAAUAAACAACUUGGACAAAGAAAGAAAAAAUUUAUUUUUCUAUGAAUAGUAUCGUAUACGUGAAUAGUAACCCCGACAUGAAAAAGGAAGAAAUUUCACAAUAAAAUUCAUACAAAUAUUUCGGUAUAAUGAUAUUGAAAGAAUAACAUCAUUACAAAAAAAUAACAUCCCUUACCUCAAAAAAACAGUACUUCUGACCGGAAUAUCGGAUGUAAUGCCGAAGAAAACUUGCACUGAAUAGAAACUCUCAAAGUAUCUAAAUAAUUACAAAAAUACGCUCGAUAAUAUAGAGAGAGAAAACUUAUGUUUCUAGUGUGAUUUUUAAUUCUAACCUAAGCACCUAUUUAUAGAAAAAUGCUAGAACGCCAAAGGAGACUAAAUUAAUAAAAUAUUAUUAAUUUAUACAAAAUUUUUAGCAUGCCACUUUUGAUCAAAUUUUAGCACACCACAGUGGGGCCCACCCAAAAUCAACAAUUUCUACACCAACCAAAAGUGGGGUCCACCAUGUUUUUAAUAAAAAUAUUUAUUUCCGAAACUUCAAUAAUUCAUAAUAAAUAGUCCUUUUAUCAUAAAAAUAAGAAUUUUAUGUCCAUUCCAUAGGAAAUCGAAUUCUCUACAACUUUGUAGAUUUAAUUUUUUACAAAUUCUAAACGAAAAAUGACCGAAAUCCACAUACGAACGAUUUUUAAUACCUUCAUUCCAACAAAAUACUGAUAAAACACCUCAGCAUUAAUUCCUUUAUUUAUAUCUACAUAAAAUAAAUAUAUCAUUCAUUUAUAUCUACAUAAAAUAAAUAUUUUCUUAUCAUAUAAAUCAAUAAUUAAUUAUUCACAAAUAAUAUUACAGAAUCACAAUAAUGACAACUAGGCCGUUCCCAGGAAAGAGGGGGCUUUCUGAUAAGAAUUUCUCCUUACUAGCGCGCAAUUAGAUGACCUAACCCCUUUUCUUGACAGAACUUUUUAGAUAUUGCCAAUAAUGCUAUCUAAUAAUAUUAUUCAAAUAAUAUGAAUUAUUGAUCUGAUAAUGGGAAAUAUUGUGCAGUACAAUUAUUGAAACAACAAUAAUAUAAAAUAUCAACGUAGCAAUUAUUGAAUCAAUACAAUAAAAUAUUAAACAGUAAUUACUGUAACAAUUAUUGAGUAGUGCCUUCUUACAUAAAAAUCAAUAAUUCAAAAAUAUUGUGCAAUACCGUGUGCUACUGUGCAACCACGCGUAUUACUGUAUUUUAACCACCAGGUAUUCCAACAGUGUUAACGGUAACGAUUAAGCCGUUAUUUAUAAAAACUCAUACUUAUCGUUUUCUUCACCCGACCGUUUUUCAUUAUGGGGCCCACAAAUGGCUGCGCCGUCGUACGAAUAUUUCCCGACAACAAGAAUAUUCCACAUCCAAACGAAUAUUUCCCGACAAUAAUGAAUAUUUUAUAAUGACUUGCUUAUUUUGCAAAAAUUUACACAUUUCACCCAUAACCAAAGCAUUAUAUCAAAUUAACACCUUAUUAUUUCAAAAUAAUAAUUAGAGAAAAUUUAAUUUUAUUUAUAAAAAGUUGGGGUUUUACACAUAGGCUAUGACUUUCCCAUGUUGUAUGAGAACAAAUCUUAUGCCUUUCCCAUGUUGUAUGAGAACAAAUCUUAUACCUCUGCUUGAAGCAUCGUUGUAGAAGACAAAUCCAUCUGAACCUGAUGGUAUUGUCAGAACAGGUGCUGAAAUGUGUCUUCUCUUGAGUUCUUGGAAACUCUUCUCACAUUCCUUGCUCCAACUGAAUUUUUUAUCUUUUCGAGUCAGCUGAGUUAAUGGAGUAAUGAUUCAAGAAAAUCCUUCUACGAAUCUCCAAUAAUAACCAAGUAAGCCUAGAAAGCUAAUUAUUUUGGUUACUGACUUAGGUUGCUCCUAACUUUGACUCAUAUCCCAACCUUAGAUAGCACCUCACAAUUUGCACCUAUCAGUUUGCCACCGCAUAAAUACGGCGUCCCCUACAGAGAGUCUGGCUUGGGUGCAUUCCACAAAGGAAGUCACUAAAUAGAGGAUCGGGUACCAACUCCUGUAGUUGGGUUUUUAACUCCUAAAGUUCAAUAGGAGUCAUUCGAUAUGAGGAUUUGGAAAUGGGUUUUGUAUCGGGUUCAAGGUCAAUACAAAAUUCAAUUUCACAUUCUAGGGUAGGCCAUAAAGUUCUUCGAGAAAUACGUCAAAAAAUUUAUUAACAACAGAAAUAUCAUUCAAAUCUGACGUAUUUUUGUUUAAAUCGGUGACAUGGGCUAAGAAAGCUUGACAUCCGUUUUUCAAUUAACGAAUGGCUUUAUGACUUGAUAUAAAAGUGAUUGACUUUAGUGGUUUGGUUGCUUGAAUUCGCAUAACAGGUUAGUUAGGGAUAUGAAAGCUAACGACCUUACGAAAAUAAUCAAUUUUAGCAUGAUGAGUAGUUAACCAAUCAAUCCCUAAAAUCACAUCCAAUGCAAGUAUUUUCAAAGAGAUGAGAUCAAUAGGUAUGUGAAGGUAUCAAUUUGAAUCAAAUAAGAUUUAUAAAUGGUGGAUGUAACAAAGGUUUCUCCCAACGGAGUUUUAACCCAUAAUUCAAAGUUUAAUUUCUCCGAAGUCAAGUUUAAACAUUGAGCACAAGCAGGUGAAACAAAAGAAUGGGUAGAACAAAUUAUACUUAGUCCUCAAUAAGGAAAAAUAUGAUAGAAUACAAUAGACAACAAGUUUUAGAUCAACAACUGCAGCGGAAAUAACAAUCCAUUAAAAAAGUCAAGUAGAGAAUGAUGUCUACUAUCUUCUAUGAUUUAAAAGUUCAUCAUCAAUAUUUUAUCCAUGUAACACCAAUCAAUAAUCAUUUUAGAUCAAUAAAUUAUCUAUACACUACGGGCCAAGGAUAUUCGUAUGUAUCAUUAGUGGUCAUGAUCAUGCCAAACAACUAUCCAUUUAUAGACUACGGGACAAAGAGGACUUUCACCACAACAUUUGUCUAUAACAUUACAGGUCAUGAUUAUACCAAUACACAAUUCCUGAUCAUAAUCAUACCAAUCAACAGUCCAUCUAUGCAUUACGGGCCAAAGAUAACUUUUACCACAAUAUAAGCAUGAGGAUGAUGACAAUGAUAUAAGGAAUCAAAAAAGUCAGAUCAAGAAUAAAUAUUAGAAAUUUAUAAUUCAAUUUAUCUAGAGUUCAAAGAAUGUCCAAAUUGUCAACAUGAUAACUAAUUUUGGAGUAAAAUUCAAGAAUGAUAUUCAUGUAUCAAAAAUAAUUUGGACAGAAAAGAAAUCAAUUUUGUCGUGAAUAGUACCCGAAUGAAUAGUACCCCGAGUGAAUGGUACCCGAGUGAAUAGUACUCUGUGAAUAGUACCUCGAGUGAAUAGUACCCAUGAAUAGUACCCCGAAUGAAAAUGUGACGCCCUCAAAAUAGGUAUACAUCACCCAUCUUGAGUCGCCAAAUACAUGGUACAGAAUACAAAUAAAAAUUUAAUUAUACAACUGUCGUGUAAAAUACGACAAAACAAAAGCUUAGAGUUUUAACAUAAAUAUUGUCUUCUAGACAAUAUCCAUACUCAAUGGAGUCCUCAUUACAAUUAUUAUCACACUAUCUCAUAGAAUAGUGAGGACUACUAAAGCCACUUAUCCUGGACCAUCACUCCAUUCCCCGACUCGUCCCAGCUACGUUCUCAUUUCCUGAAGAGAACAAUGAAAGCAAAAGGGUGAGCUCAACUAGCCCAGUAAGAAAUAUUAUGACUAAGAUAAUGCAGAAUAAAUUAUCCUUAGCCUUCAACAGUAUAACAACUGAUAGAAUAUAGUAGACAACAAGUUUAACUGCAGCAGAACAAGCAAUCCAUUAAAAGAGUCAAGUAGAGCAUGAUAUCUACUAUCUUCUAUGAUUUAAAAAGUUUAUCAUCAAUUUUAUCGUUGAGACUCAGCUUAAUAAAUAAACCACAUCAUCGAAUCAUCCAUGCACCAUGGCCAAGGAUAUUCAUGUAAUCAUCAAUGGUCAUGAUUAUACCGAAUAAUCCCUAGUCAUAAUCAUACCAACAACUGUCCAUCAAUGCACUACAGGCCAAUGAGGACUUUUACCACAUUAUUUGUAACAUUACGGGUCAUGAUUAUACCGAAUGACCCCUGGUCAUAAUCAUACCAAUCAAUAGUCCAUCUAUGCACGUAAGCCAAUGAUGACUUUCAUCACAAUAUAAGCAUGAAGAUGAUGACAAUGAUAUAAGAAUUAAUAAAAUGAAAUCAAUGAUAAAUAUUAAAGAUUUUAAAUUUAUCCAGAGUUUAAAAAUAUCCAAAUUGUCAACAUGAUACUGUUUUGUGGAGUAAAAUUCAAGAAUAAUAUUCAUGUAUCAAAAUAAUUUGAACAGAAAAGAAAUAUAUUUUUUGGUUAAAUAGUACCCCAUUAAUAGUACCUUGUGAAUAGUACUUCGGGAAUAGUACCUCAUGAAUAGUACCCCAGCAUGAAAAGUGCCCCAAAUACCCGAGUGAAUAAUAUUCGUGUGAAUAGUAAUUCAUGAAUAGUACUCCGACAUGAAAAGUGCCCGGAAUAUCUGAGUGAAUAGUAACGGGGUGAAUAGUACCUGUAAAUAGUAACUCAUGAAUAGUAUUCUGGCAUGAAAAGAUCAAUAAUUAUCAAGAAAGCUCGAAAUAAUUUUUCCAUAAAAAGAUACUGGAUGAAGCAAAAAUAUUAAUGAUAUUCUACUAAUUUCAUGGAGUAUAGAAGCAAUACUUUAACAGAAUGAGUGUAUAAUCAGGAAUACAAGACGAAAUAAUAUUACUCACAUACUACAGAGUAUGGAAGAAAAUAUUAUUCCUUAUGAAUACUGAACAAAAAUAAUAUCCCUUACAACUGUUGAACGAAAAUAAUAUUUCAACGAAUAUUUAACGAAGAUAAUAUUCUUAUGAAUAUUGAACGAAGAUAAUAUUCUUUAUGAAUAUUGAACGAAAAUAAUAUUCAUACGAAUACGAAAAAUAAUAUCUCUUCAGAAUAUGAAAUAAAUAAUACCCCUUACCUCAGAAGAAGACUGGAUACUGGAAUAGUGAAGUAUCAUACUUCUCUUCUUCUUUCUCUCUAUAGUUUCUCUCUCUAUAGCUUCUCUCUCGAUAAUUGCUCUUGUGAGUCUUAGUGAAUUGGUGAGAAUGAAGGAAGAAUGAGCUUCUAUUUAUAGAAAAAUAUAGUUUUGAUAAUUGCACGUUUUGGGGCUCGAAAUAUUACAGUAUAAUACAUUCAUCUUUUCUUUCAUUUUUAAUUUAGUCCUGCAAGUAUUAUCAAACUUGCACCACCUCCCUUAAUAGUAUAUCAUGUGAAUCAAUAGUACAAUCAUAUGAUUCAAUAGUUCUAUAUAUGUGAAAAAUAAUUAUAGUGUAGUACUUCAUCUAUACCUCCAUUUUUAAUUUAGUCAUGCAAGUAUUAUCAAUCUUGCACCACCUCCCCUAAUAGUACAUACAUGUGAAUCAAUAGUACACACAUGUAAACACAUAGUUAUAAUGUAAGACCCCAUCUUUUUAUAAAUAAAAUUGAAUUUUCCUCUAAUUAUUAUUUUGAAAUAAUAAGAUUUUAAUUUGAUAUAAUAUUUUGGUUAUGGGUGAAAUGUGCAAAAUUUUCAAAAUUAAGCAAGUGGUUAUAAAAUAUUCAUUGUUGUCGGGGAAUAUUCGUACGACAGCGCAGCCAUUUGUGGGCCCUAUAUCGGAAAACGGUCGGAUGAAGAAAACGAAGCGUAUGAAUUUUUAUAAAUAACGGCGUAAUUGUUACUGUUAACACUGUUGGAAUACCUGGUGGUUAAAAUACAGUAAUAUGUGUGGUUGCACAGUAGCACACGGUAUUGCACAGUAUUUUUGAAUUAUUGAUUCUUACGUAAUAAGGCACUACUCAAUAAUUGUUACAGUAAUUAUUGUUGAAUAUUUUAUUUUAUUGAUUCAAUAAUUGCUGCGUUGAUAUUCUAUAUUAUUGUUGUUUCAAUAAUUGUCACGACACAAUAUUUUCCAUUAUCAGAUCAAUAAUUCAUAUUAUUUGAAUAAUAUUAUUAGAUAACAUUAUUAACAAUGUCUAGAAAGUUCUGUCAAUGAGAGGUUUGGUCACCUAAUUGUGUGCCAGUAAGGAGAAAUCCUUAUCGAAAAGCCCCCUCUUUCCUAGGAACGGCCUGGUUGUCAUUAUUGUGAUUCUGUAAUAUUAUUUGUGAAUAAUUAUUUAUUAAUUUAUAUGAUAUGGAAAUAUUUAUUUUAUGUGGAUAUAAAUGAAGAAAAUAUUUAUUUUUAUGUGGAUAUAAUUGAAGGAAUUAAUGUUGAAGUAUUUUAUCAAUAUUUUAUCGGAAUGGAGGUAUUAAAAAUCAUCCGUAUGUGGAUUUCAGACAUUUUCUGUUUGGAAUUUGGAAAAACUUUCUUCUGCAAAGUUGUAGAGAAUUUGAUUUCCUAUGGAAUGGACAUAAAAUUCAUAUUUUUCUGAAAAAAGGGAUAUUUAUUAUGAAUUGUUGAAGUUUCAGAAAUUAAAUAUUUUUAAAAUUAUGGGUGGGAUCCACUUUUGUUUUUUUGAAAACAUGUGAGCUGCAAAAAAAAAAUCCAAGAUGGCAUGCUCUGAUUCAAAAGGUGUGGGCGUGGAAGGAAGAAAAAAAAUAUAUUAUUUUAUUAAUUUAGUCUGCUUUAGCGUUCUAGUAUUUUUCUAUAAAUAGGUGCUUAGGUUAUAAUUGAAAAUCACACCAGAAACAUAAGUUUUCUCUCUAUAUUUUCGAGCAUAUUUUUGUGAGUAUUUAGAUACUUUGAGAGUUGCUAUUCAGUGCAAGUUUUCUUCGGCAUUACAUCUGAUAUUUCGGUCAGAAAUAUAGUUAUUUUGAGGUAAGGGAUGUUAUUUUCUUCGUAAAUGAUAUUAUUUUCUUCAAUAUCAUUAUGCCGAAAUAUUGGUAAGAAUUUUAUUGUGGAAUUUCUACCUUUUUGUGUCGGGGUUACUAUUCACGUAUAUGACACUAUUCACAAAUACGGCACUAUUCACCGAAAAAUAAAAUUUUCUCCUUUUUGUCCAAGAUGUCUAUUAUGGUUAUUAUCUUUGAUUGUAUCCAUGUUUUGAUCUUCAUUUUUAAAUUAUGCUCCACAUUUGGUUAUUAUGGAGUAUUAUUAAACUUGGAUAAACUGUAAUAUGAAUCCCUAAUAUUUGUCCUUUUGUCUCAUUGAAUUCAUUUUUUUUAAGAUAUUUUUCAUCAUCCUCAGUCUGAAAUGAUGAUAUACUAAAUAUCUUUGGCCUGUAGUGCAAAGAUGAAUGAUUAAGUGAUGAAUAUCUUUGGCCCGUAUUUCAAAAGAUGAACAGGUGUUGAGAUGAACAUGACCGACUGGUGAUACAAAUGAAUAUCUUUGGCCUGUAGUACAAAGAUGAAUAUUUGAUUCAAGGUGUAUAUUGAUUGAUCUUACAGGGACAAAAUAUUGAUGAUGGACUUUUAAAUCUUAGAAGAUAGUAGAAUUCAUUCUCUACUUGACUCUUCUAAUGGAUUGUUGUUUCCGUUGCAUUUGUUGAUCUAAAACUUGUUGUCUAUUAUAUUCUAUCAGAUUUUUCCCUGUUGAGGACUAGUGAUAAUUUGUUGUAUAUUAUCUUAGUCAUAAUAUUCUUUACUGGGCUAGUUGAGCUCACCCUUUCUGUUUUGUUCCAUUUUUCUUCUCAGGAGGUGAGAAUUUAGCAUGAACUAGUCGGGAUAUGGAAUGAUGGUUAUAGAAAGAUAUUUUAGCAGUCCUCGCUAUUUUUUGUAAAAUAGUGCAUCAAUAAUUGUAAUGAGGACUUAUUUGAGUGUGGAUAUUGUCUAGAAGAUAAUAUUUGUAUUUAAACUCGCAGUAUGUGUUGUCAUAUUUUGCACGACAAUUGUAAUAAUGAAGUUGUAGUUUUCUUUAUGUACCAUGUAUUUGGCGACUCAGAAUGGGUGUUGUAUACCUAUUUUGGGGGCAUCACAUAUAAGCAUGUGAAUUAAUAGCAAUUAAUUGCUCAUUUAUCCGAUUAAUUACCCGAUUGGUCAAUAUAACCUCCAGACAUCAAUUAUUAUCGAAAUAAAUGUCGAUUUCCACUAACACUAAUAAUCCCAAUACAAUGGAAUUAUAAAUUUCAUUUUAAUCAACAUGAACUUAUUCAUCAUUAAUAUUAUAACUCACAAUAUUUAACAAUCAGGUCGUUCCCAGAAAAGAGGGGGCUUUCCGAUAAGGAUUUCUCCCUAUUGACGCGCAAUUAGAUGAUAUAACCUCUCUUUGACAGAACUUUUAGACAUUGUCAAUAUUGUAAAUAAUAAUAUGAAUAACUUUGUCGUCUCAAUUAUUGAUUUAAUAAUAUAAAAUAUUAUGCAGAUGAUACUGUGACAAUAAUUGGAUCAAUAAUAUGAGAGAUAUUAUGCAGCAAUUACUGUAGCAAUAAUUGAGUAUAACUGAGUGACUUCUUACGUAAGCAUCAAUAAUCAAUACCGUGUGCUACUAUGCAACCACGCGUAUUACUGUACUUUUACUACCGGGUAGUUCAACAGUUNNNNNNNNNNNNNNNNNNNNNNNNNNNNNNNNNNNNNNNNNNNNNNNNNNNNNNNNNNNNNNNNNNNNNNNNNNNNNNNNNNNNNNNNNNNNNNNNNNNNNNNNNNNNNNNNNNNNNNNNNNNNNNNNNNNNNNNNNNNNNNNNNNNNNNNNNNNNNNNNNNNNNNNNNNNNNNNNNNNNNNNNNNNNNNNNNNNNNCAUAUGUACUUAUAUAACAUUUCUUAGACUAUUCAGUUCACAUCGAAUUUACAGGUAUCGUAAUACCUUAAUCUUGAUAUUCCUUCAAGUACAUAUUAAUUCAUUUCUAGGGUUUUGGAAUUUUUGUAACCCAUAUUUUCUCUAUUCUCAUUCGAAUAGCAAACCAUAUAGGUUUUACUUGAAAAUUUUAAAUAAAUCCUCAAAUUCUCAUUUAGGUUUUAUUCUUUAACCUUUAUUCUAAUCAUUCAAGAUUUUAUGAAUUUUCGGGUUAUCACAUUCACCCCUUCUUCUAAGAAUUUCGUCCUCAAAAUUAAAGCAUACUAAUAUCUGCUUAUUCGAUGGAUCAAAACUAGGUUUUCAACUUAACCUUUAUAAUUUCCUCAUUCAAGGAUUUCUCAUCUAUUAUCACAUUUCACCAUAACUACUCACUAGGAGUUUACAACUUCUAAACAUUCAUAAAAACUAGGUUGUCAUAAUAACCUUUAUUCAAAUAUCUUAGAUUCUACUCGUACACAACGAGUUCACACUAUUUCAUAUCCAUCAUCACAUUCUACCAUAACAUUACUCUGAAGAGUUUUAAAAACUUUUUAUAUCUGUCUGAGGGAUCAUAAAAACUAUGAACUUUGAGGUUUAGGGGUAUUUCUACCUACUACCUCUUUCAAUUACGAAAGAAAGGUACUCUACCUCUGAAACAUUUCUUUAAUAGGUAUGUUUACAAUCACAAAGAAGGUAAACUACCGAUGCGGGUACUUUAGAUGAUCAGUCUGUUGUACCUUAGUAAUUGGAACGACUAUAUCGUUCUUAGAUUGGAAUAUUUUAUCCAAUUAGUAUAUCCCCAUUUUUAGGGUUGUUCACCUCAGACUUAUCAUAAGAUUCCUCACCAAAACAAUUUGGUUCGGCAUAAACUUUCAAAUAAUACUUUGAAUUUUCAUAAACAUUUGUCUAGCUGAAUCAAAUAGCUUAGACACAUAUCAAUAAUUCGAAUUUCAAUCGAAAUAUUUCUAGCCAAAUUCAGUUGGCAAUAAAUUAUCUUUAAAAUUCUUAAAAUCAUUUUGACGUCAUGAUACAGCACUAUAUAAACAGUCCGUUUGAGGAUUCCGUCAUUUUGUGACUUUGUCAUACUACAUCAUACUAUAGUGGGCUAAUGAUCUUAAGAUCACAUCCAACACUAAGUAAUUCUGCAUUGAUAACUCCAUCAUUUUUAUCAUCUCUGCACCAGGUUGCAUGAUGCAUUAGUGAUAUAAAAAUACCUUUUGAUAAUUCAAAUCAUUUUCGUCUAGCCGAAUCAAUAAGCAUAGACUCUUCUUUAAAUCGUUCAAAAACCUUUGCAAAUCUGUUUUAUCAUCUCAACAGGCAACGAGGUGUCGGUAGCCCGAAGUCCACGCAUACACAAUGGUUACCAAUAGUUGAGAAUAAAAAUUUAUUUUUCAAAAACACAUAGUGCGUAUUUAGCUUGAUGUCAAAAACUUUGAAGUCUAGUAUAGCUAGAAGAUUUGGAAUACCUAUGCUUCCAUCAUCAUCUUCACUUUUUCUACUGAUCCAUUGCUUAAUAAAUCUAUCUAUUCUUAUAAUCCUCAAUGCUUCAUUCAUAACUUUCCUAUACCCAGAUCAUCAAACUUACCACACAUUAUGGGUUCAGUAACUUGCCACAAUCAUAUGGGUUUAAGAACUUAUCCUAGUCAGACCAUAGGCGUCCAUUCGUUGAGGGGUUCAAAAUAUACCAUAUGAUUAUGAGUCAUGAAUUUACCAUAAGUAUGAGUUUUAAGAAUUCGCAAUUAACCUUAUAUUCUCUACCUAUUCGUUAUACACAUGAGAAAAGAAUCACCUUAUCAACAUGCAUAUAGAAAAUAGCGCGACAUUAGGUUCCAAUGAUUACUAAUGCCAGAAACUAAGUGGUUGUCAAACCAAACUCGGCCACUAAUCAAUAUAGGAAGCUAAGCGGACAAUUCCCCGCCCAUACAAAGAAUUGGUCAACCUAAUCACUAUAUCGACCAGGAAGCUAAGUGAUUCUAAAACCAAGUACAAAUUCCCCGCCCAUACAAGGAAUCAUACAACUCAGCUGCUGACCUGAGUCCUCAAUUGAAAACCCACACAAUUCUUACUUUCUCUUUUAUUAAUACGAAUUUUCUUUAAUCUGCAUCUUAACAUAUACCACUCUUUUCUGAGUUUACAUUGUACCAUUUCAUAGUACCUUCUCUUUGUAGCGUCAAGCUAUAACAUUCAAAUCAAUUAACAUAUCAUAUGUUAUUCAACAAUUUAAUCUGAUCACGUCGUGAUCUUAUUUCGAAAUCAUUUCUCCUUAUACUUACGAUCGUUUUAUAUUACGAUCUUCUUAUUCUUCUCUUAAUCAUAUUAUAUUAUGAUUUUAUUUGCACUUUUCAUCUUAUAGACAUAUUCUAUUUAUUUUCACUUUUCAUCUUUAUUACAGGAGUCAGGUAACUCCGGAUUCUUAUUCUUAUAUCUCUUCAAGAUUCUUUUUUGAAUCUUCUUUAUCUUCUUCUUUACUUAAUAAUGAAUUUCCAAAAAUUCAUCUCUUAUCGCUUAAACUCUAUUCGAGUUUAUUACUUAUCAUCAUCUUCGCGGUUAUAGCCUAAGGUAUACCUACCUAAGAUUUAUAACAUACGGCUUUGAUACCAACGGUAGCAGCCCCAAAUCCGGGUCCCAAAUCACCACGGAUCUGGUUCAAUCAUUCUACAACUAUUGCGGAAGAUAUAAACAUAAAUUGUUUAUACAUUAAACUUUUACACAUCAUUUCCAAGGUCUACAACCUUAAAUUAAUACAUACCUUCAAUAUCUUAGAAGAUUUACAAUGCUAUUUUCGUCAGAAAAUUUAAUAGAUCUAAUUGCAACAUACACUAAUCUUGCACUUUGACUUUGCUUCUGUCUUUAUUCGAGCUUUCAUCUAAAUCUGAAAAUUUUAUCAUGAUAUAACAAGGGUGAGCAACAAAUUUUCCCAACAAGUUUUACAUACAAUGGAGAUAUAUCAUGAUUGAAAAGAAUGAAUAAGCUUUCAAGUUUUCAACAAUUUAAUAAUUGUGAAAUAACAUGAAUCAAUUUCAAUGAUUGAAUGACGGAACCAAUAAUAUUGGAUGUCAACAAUUAACAUGAACAAUUUAACUAAACCUUAUGGUAAUGAAGGUGAUCAGCCUUUCAUACCUGAUGAACAUAUGCAACAUGCACAAUGUGCGAAUUAAUAAAUUAUUGACGUGGUAUAAUCAACAAUGAUUAACCACUAACAUGCUUUGAAUUAACAACUCAAGUUGAGUUAGGAAACUUGCCUGCAUAAUCAAUUACCGCUACGCAAUCUAAUGUAAUCUCUUAUGAAAGACCUAUAAAUUAUCAGAUCGAUCUUUCAAUUAGUAUAACAUACAUGUUAACUCAUCAUCUUAUAUUAAAUUGUCUAACCUAGUUAAGUAUUGGACAUUACUUUAUAGCCUUAGUAUUAUCAUAAUACUUUGAUAAUCUUUUUAUCAUGUCUUAACUUAUACUUAUAAGUUUUCCCUUUUAUAUGUUAUCUUAGUAAGCUAGAUAACCUUUCAGUAAACUGAAAUAUCAUUUCAAUAAACCGAAUUACAUUUCAGCAUCCUGAAAUUAAUAUAUCAGCCGACCACAAUCAGUUUAGUACACUAAAUUCAAUUUCAGCAACCCAAAAUCAAAUUCAGCAACCCAAAAUCAAAUUUAGCACCUUGAAUUCUCAUUUUAGUCUAUUACAAACAUAACAUAGUUUAUUGAAUACCAAAUUCAAAAAUUAUAUUAAAAAAUAACAUAAAUCUCUUAUUUUAAUCUCCCGUCGAAUAUUAUUGAUUAUGUAAUAAUAUUUUACGCUAAGGCUAUUAACCUUUUAAUAACAUUCUAGUUAAAUACUACUAAUAAUAUCUAAUUCCAAUAUUAUCAGCCCUAUAACAAAAAAAUUAAGUCAUUAAUCACAUUAAUAAACAAUUUAUUUCAAUUAUUUUCCUUUUAUUAAUUAACUUGUUUAAGCAUUCUAAAAUGCCAUAAACAUCACAACACUUCACACCCGACCCAAAACUUCAUCAAAUACCUGCAUAAGCCAUGCUCAAGGGUCUCAAGUCAUAAAUUGUAUUUUUCAUAUUUUUGGACAUCAUAUACUUACUUAAAUCCAUUUAUCCAUUUCUCAUCAUUUAGAUGAAAAAUACCAAAUCACUUCCAAAAAUAUUUCUUUUCCGGGAUUUGACAUAAUAUAGUUUCAUAUUGAACAUAUAUUUUUCCCGGAAUUUUUAAAAUAGAUUUACUAUAUUUAAAUAGUCCAUAAUAGCCAAAUCUUCUCCAAUUUUUCAUAAAUCGAGAUUAACUCCAAAAAUUCUGAUAUUUUUACAGUAUGUUUCUCAUAUACACAUGUACUUCCAGUAAAGAUUUUGUAAUUUUUGGACUUAUACACAGAGAGUUAUACGGGUGGCUUCAUAAAAGUAGCCCUUCACCGUAAAAUUCAUAUCUCUCAAACCGUAUGGCCAAAAAUUCUCAAAUUUUUACACAAUCUGCAUAACAACUGAUAUUAUCAUUCCGAAUUUUUCUAGAAUUUUUAAAGCACAAAAAGUAGACGAAAUUGCCCCCGCCACUGACUGAUCCAAAACAGUCCAUUUCCUUUUUCCAAAAAUGGGACUGUUUUGGCUUAAACAGUUACUACACCAUGAAAACUCAACAUUUUUGAGUGCUACCACUUGGGUUAACUACUAAACACAUAUAUCUAGCACCCCUCUUUGACGGAUCGCAAAAAGGAGUUAUAGAUUUAAAACGGUGGAUUUUCAAAGUAUAUAGAAAUUUCGGUUUUCAAAAUUAGAAAAAUUAUUUUUCUUUUCCUUUUGGUUUCCACCAAAUCAACACCUAAAUUGGGUAAAUCCAUACAUGAAUCCAUGAAAAACACAUAGAUCAUAGGGUGUGAACUACCAAAUCAAAAACCCCUUAAAUCAAAUCCAUAAACUAAAAUAGAGAAAAACUUAGGAAAAAAAAAAAUUUACCUUUGUUUUUCUUCUUCUUCUUCUUCCUUCUUCCUUCUUCCAUGGAGAUUCUUUCUUCUCCUUCUUUCUCCCUCAUGGAGGUUGCCGUCUCUCCUCUUCUUCUCUCCCUCUUUCUCCCGUUCUCUUCUUUCACGUUAUCUUUCUUUUUCUUUUCCUUUUCUCUUUCUCUCUCUUUCUUAUCUCUUUCCUUCUUAUCCUAUCCUUUCUUAUCCUUACUA
rnacentral:lncRNA from 1 species